GCCCGGCGCCGACUACCAACUCACCAAGCUCUUGGGCCUCCGCCCCUCCGUCAAGCGCCUCAUGAUGUACCAACAAGGUUGCUUCGCCGGCGGGACGGUCCUCCGUUUGGCCAAGGACUUGGCCGAGAACAACAAGGGUGCACGUGUUCUUGUUGUGUGCUCUGAGAUCACCGCAGUCACCUUCCGCGGGCCUAGUGACACCCACCUUGACAGUCUUGUGGGUCAAGCCUUGUUUGGUGACGGCGCAGCGGCCGUCAUCAUUGGUUCGGAUCCAGUGCCCGAAGUCGAGAAGCCCUUGUUUGAAUUGGUGUCAGCAGCACAAACCAUUCUUCCCGACAGUGAUGGGGCUAUUGACGGCCAUCUCCGUGAAGUAGGGCUUACAUUUCACCUUCUCAAGGACGUUCCUGGGCUUAUUUCCAAGAAUAUCGAAAAGAGCCUUAACGAGGCCUUCAAGCCUAUAGGCAUUUCAGACUGGAACUCGCUCUUCUGGAUUGCACACCCAGGUGGCCCUGCUAUUCUGGACCAAGUAGAGUCCAAGUUGGCCCUUAAGCCGGAGAAACUAGAAGCUACAAGGCAAGUGCUGUCUGAUUACGGCAACAUGUCGAGUGCGUGUGUCUUGUUUAUUUUGGACGAAGUGAGGAGGAAGUCUGCUGAGAAAGGACUCAAAACAACUGGAGAAGGACUGGAGUGGGGCGUACUCUUCGGAUUUGGGCCUGGCCUCACUGUUGAGACCGUUGUGCUUCACAGUGUGGGUGCUUGAUGACAUGAAAAUCGGUGUUGAUUUAUCUAUCUGCUUCGUUUAUGUAUUGUUUCCGCCUUUUCUGGUUAGAAUUUGGCUUUUGGGAUAUUGUGUGUGGGCGUCAUGGGGUUAACUUGGUGCAAGGAAGGACCCUUACUUUCAUGUUGUUUACUGCAAUAUUGAUGAAAAAAGGGCCCUGAUUGGGCAAUGUAAUGAUGAGUAAAAUAUGGAUUGACGAAUAAUACCACUCUUUGAUUUUCAUGUAGUAUAAUCUCUUAGCUGCAUCUCCAUUUCAAACAUUGUGGUAAAGCCCUGCCCCUGAUUUGGGAUUCGGGAAGUCUUUGCUCGUGUUGAAAUAGAUCGUAAUGUGUAAAUGGCGAUCAAUGGAGGGGAUUUAGGGAUACUUCUGUGGUGAGCCUCGGAAUCAGAGUUGUCAUAAAGGAUAUUCUCCUAAUGCCAGCUUGAUCUCAUGAUAAAGCGAGGUGGCUCCGGGAGCGUGUAUUGGGCUCUUCGCAGUGAAAAUUUUAGGAGUACCGGCACUUGUGCUAAGUAAUGUUCCCAAUUUCACACUCAGAUAUUAUUUACUUUCUUUUCAAUUAGCUCAAUUUUGGUGUUAAAUUUUUACAAGUGGGGAACACCACCUGGCACAAGUGGCGAGAACACAAUGUAGACGGAUUAGGGUUUGCAAAAGCUAUAGCACAUACGUUUGAAAGGCGAAAACCCGUGGAAGUGAAAAAAAAAAGGAGCUUACACCCAGAUUAAUUUCCUUUUACGCCUGGGGAGAGGGAGAGAGAGAAAGAAGAAUGGCAAAGCAAAAAAGCGAAAAAUUUGAAAGAAAAAAAAAGAAUGAUGACUCGGACGUUGCUUAAUCCCGUUUUAUCCCACGUUGGAGUGUGAGAGUCUGUAAUACCAAGCAACAACUGAAACUCAUGGCAGCCUCUACCCCUGUUUUUUUCCCACGUUGGUUUCGUAUAUAUCUAUAUCUAUAUAUAUAAAGUGAGAAGCACACAAUGAUAAAGCAUUCUGAAAUGCCAAAAAUGUCCUCAUUUCAUAUCAGCAGUUGCACAGACUAAAGAUGGAACCGUCCUCCAUCGCACGUUCUUGAUCACCACAGUGCAUACAAAAGAGUAAAUUGGGUAAUUUUCUCGAACAAUAUUCUUAUCUAUGCCAAAAUUUUGAAAUGAGUUUCCGCCAGAAAUUUUCAUUUUCUGCUUCAAUUCAGGUACUCUAUGCCUAAUUGAAUUGUUCAUAUCUACUAAUGUUUGAUUUGUUAACUAAUUGCCCACUUUAAUACAUAACUAGCCUCUCUGCACGCACUAACGUGCGUGCGAGAGAUAUUUUUGCAUCACGGGUGCUACGCGCCCCUAAAAGAUGUAUUGUAUUAGUUUUUUUCCAUUGUAAUUGUCAAGAUAUACUUUAAAUGUAUUGUGCAUAGAGGAACUUUUUUUUUUUACCAUGCAUGUCCUAAAAAAUUAUCAUGUUUUUCAUUUUUACUUUGCGUAACGUAAAGAUUUAAAUGUUAUUCAUACUCAUGCGAGAGGCAUUUUUUCAUCACGGGAGCUACGCGCCUCUAAGAAUGUAUUGAUUUAGUUGUUUUUUUAUUUGCCCAUCCAAAAUUUUAAACUUUGAAAUACUAACACUCAUUUUUCCAAUGAAUUUGUGAGAGGCCAACAUCCAUGUUUCCUCCUACCUUUUUAAUAGAUACCUUCAAGUGUGUAUUUUCUUCUUCUUUUGAUUAGAAGUAGUAAGCACAAUCCUGGAAUAGUAUUUCUCCAAGUUGAAGGAAAUUUGCAUUCUAUUGAAAAAAAACACACGUGCUCUACCUUUUUUAACCGUUCAGAGAUCGAAUAAAAUUGGCACACUUGUUCGGACGUUUUCUACCAACUUAACAUAAUAAUAAGUAUGAUCACAGUCAGCUACCACGAAAAAUGGUUGAAUUCCACCUUGGUCAAAAAAACUUAAACUUGUUCAAAUGUUAUUUUGAGUUUAAAAUUGAUAAAUAAAUAAGACAAAAUAACCUAACUAUCCAAUCUCUAUUCUUCUCUUGAUCCUCCCAAAUUUGUAUUUCAAUGGGAUAAAUGUAAAAAUUAUGUCUUUGAACUGAAAUUGUUUAAUCCUCCAAACCUAAAAGGAGAGAAGCACAUAAAUAGAAUGAAGCUAAACAUAAUCUUUCAAAUCAAUCUCGUACAUCACAAAUGCCACUACAGAGUGGAACUUGAUCUUUAUAUGUAAAACUCCACAACACCACCUUAUACAUUAUGUUGGCUUUUUUUUUUUUUUUUUAUCAAUAAUGUGAAAAUUUUGAUCUUUAUCUAUACAGUACAUGUAAAAUUUACUAUCAAUAAUUAAUCAUGUAAUAUGCACAUCAAUCAUCUUAACCUAACUAUUAGUCAUAUAGAGCAUUUGGUUUUCAUUUGUAAGCCAUCAUUAAAAUAAUAAUUUCUGCGCAAAUCAAAUAACAAAUUCACAUAUAAAUACACUACUUUACAUUGGUAUCAAAUUAACUUUUACAAAUAGAUCAGUAUAUAAAAUGGACAUUAUUGAUGCAUAAAACCGAAGGUCUUGGAACAACGUAAAUCCGACCGUGAAUCUGCAAGAAAUGUAAAUAACACAAGAUGUAUCGUGGUUCACCCCAAAGUUUGGGCUACGUCCACACUGAUUGUAUUGUAUUUCUCUGAGAAGUGAGGGAGAGAGAGAGCUCUGAGAGUGAGAGCUUUGAGAGGGGUGAGAAGGCUCUAGAAAUGGCCUCCCAAUUGUGAGGGUGAGGGGUCCUUUUAUAGAAUAAGGACUCCUCACUUAUUACAUAUUUGCCCAUUCCUUUAUUACCUAAUUACAUUUAAGUCCCCCGAGUAUUUAUACGAGGUCUAAAUACGAGGCCCUAAAUAUGGUAUAAACAGUAGUCCCCCAAGUCUUCAGUCAAGAGAGUCUUUUGGCUGGAGACUUGAAAUUCAGUCCAUGUGUGGGUCGAAGUAACUAGAUGUUGUCUUGAACUAAUGUUCGAUAUGAGGUGGUGCUCAAUUUGAAAUGAUGCUCAACUAGAAGUAGCACAUGUUGCGAGGCUGCUCGGCUCGUGGCUUAUGUUGCCUUGGUUGGCUCGGCUUAUGGCGUUGAAGGUGAGGAAGUCCCUUUUAUAGAAUAAGGGAUCGCUCAUCAAUACAUGAAUGAUGGGCUAAAAUUGAUGCUCUCUAAUGGUGGUAAGGGAGUCCCUUUUAUAAAAUAAGGGCUCACUUCUCAAUACAUAAGUGAUGGGCUAAGUCCCCCAAGUAUUUUUCAUGAGGUCCAGUUGAGGCCCAAUAUAUGGUGUAUAGUGUAGUCCCCCAAGUUUUCGGUCAAUAGAGUCUGUUGGCUGGAGACUUCAAAUUGAAUCCAUGUAUGGGCCGAAUUGGCGGUUGUUCGGAGGUGGUAUUUGUAUACCCUGCACUGAAGCUUUGUAGGUGAAGCUUUGCAAGUGAAGUUUUGAAGCUGGGGCUCUGUAAAUAAAGCUUUUGAAGCUAGAGCUUUUGUAAAUGAAGCUUUUAAAGCUAGAGCUCUGUAAAUGAAGCUUUUGAAGCUGAUUGACAUGAAUGAUACUCAUUAAUGUUUGAUUGACAUGAGUGAUGCUCAUGGAUGUUGUCAUGAGUGAUGCUCAUGAAUGUUAACAUGAGUGAUGCUCAUGAAUGUUGACAUAAAUGAUGGUCAUGAAUGUUUGUGUAUGAUUGUUAUGAGUGAUGCUUAUGAAUGUUUAUGUAUGAAUGACAUGAGUAAUGUUCAUGUAUAAUUUGGAAUACUGGGCAUACUUUUGAUCACCUGGUUGGUGGCAUGAAUGAGAGUACGGGUUGUACAUUUCAUUACCUGGUUGGUGGCAUGAAUGGCUAGUUGUCAAAUGAUAUUAGAGUACGGGUUGUACAUUUCAUCACCUGGUUGGUGGUAAUAGCGGCAGGUUGCCGAAUAAUUUUGGAGUACUGGGUGUACUUUUGAUCACUUGGUUGGUGGUAAUAGGAGAGUACGGGUUGUACAUUUCAUCACCUGGUUGGUGGCAUGAAUGGCUAGUUGCCAAAUGAUAUUAGAGUACGGGUUGUACAUUUCAUCACCUGGUUGGUGGUAAUAGCGGCAGGUUGCCGAAUAAUUUUGGAGUACUGGGCGUACUUUUGAUGACUUGGUAGGUGGUAAUAGCGGCGGGUUGCCGAAUAAUUGUAGAGUACUGGGCGUACUUUUGAUCACCUGGUUGGAGCUAUUUUGGGCUUAUGGGCCUUUGCCCUCUACCCAAAAUUCCAGCCCAUUUAUUUUGGGCUUUGCUGUUUUUUUUUUGUUUUUUGUUUUUUUUUUUACCACCUGACGGGGUUUAUACAUAUUACCCUCUGUUGGAGUUUAUACAUAUGUCUCUGCAAGAUAAAAUAAAUUACAUCAUUAUGGUGGAGUGUUUAUUCCUUGCUUUUGCUUUCUCUUUUGCUUCCUCUUUUCUCUAAAAUGACAGCUACUUUAGACAGCCUUUCUGACAUUGCCCAUUUGCUUUUCUCUGGCUUUUAAAAAAUAGGAACAUGCAUCCGUCAACAAAAGCAAAAGUACAAACUUUCUCUUUUAGCUUUUGCUUUUACUUUGCAGAGUGCAGAUAGCAUUCACGUUCUCUGUUUCCCUUUCUGCUUUUGCCGACAAAAGCAGUGGAUGAUGUUGGCGUGACAGGUGAUUGAGGAGAGGCAACUGGAUAUGACUGAGGAUGAGCUCUUUGCUGUUGAUAAUUAUACUGCAGAUGGUGGCUCUGAUAAUUAUAUUGAUCUGAUCUUUUGAUUCUAGAAUUGGAAUUCGGGGUACUCGAAUAAGAGUAAGAUCGAGAAGUGUUGAUUUCAACUGUUUUGAUAGGAUCUCUCUGAUCAAACGAAGCUCUGCCUGGAUUGAUCUCAUGUUGCCUUCUUCUUGUCCAACCAUCAAGCAAAUUAAAUUUCUCCUCUAACUCCUCAUGCUCACCAGCAUCUUCGUCGCUGCUACCACUACUCAAUUUCUGGCUAGAGAAGGAAUAAGCAAGGCUGGUACUCCCUUCACGCUUCAAGGCAGUUUGCUUGGUUUGCUGUUGAUAUUUAGAAAGAGAACUUCAAUUUUCUGUAACAUUGCUUGGUUCUCUUUCAUUUUGCCUCCGAGUGAGGUGGGGUAAGUGGAGAAAGCAGGGAUGAAAUACUGGCAUGGUCUUGGAGACAGGUUGGAUGAAAUAGUUGUUGACCCAGUCAUUGCCUCCGAGAGUUAUGAGCACAAAUGCACUGUUCACUAGCCGUGUUACCUGUUUUGCUCCAACAAGCGCAGUCAGUCGUUGCUGGUAUUGUUGGAACAAUUCAAACUGCCUGAAGAUCCUUAUAAUAGUAAGCAGGAAGAAGAUGAGGCCCAGAUCUGAUGGCGCCACGAUCUGGUGGGCGAUGCUGACCGACUACAUGUAAGGAGAUGGACCCAGAUCCACCGUCGUGAGUGGAAGCAAGAGCGAAGCUGGAGCUGGUGACAAAAUAUCCAUCAGUGGUACAUUCCAAGUUUUCGAGGCUUCGACCAAAACAGCGACGGAGGGUUCGAGUUCAGGAGCAGGAGAGUCAAGGCGAAGCGAGCCACGGGCUUCCAAUUCGAAGCUCGAUGACAGGGUUUCGUUCACUUCCAUAUUCAACCCAGGCCAUUGAUUUGGAUCACCAAGUCAACCCGGUUCAUGAUUCGGAGGAUCCGAUUCCUGUGAUGGAUCUCCAGAGCCUGAAACUUGGAGAAGCUUGACAUCGAUGAGAUCAGGGAUGCCAAAGAGGCACUGAUGGACUGAAGCUGGUGCUUGUGUCGCUCCUUCUCAGAGAUGGUGACGGCAAAGGCAACACCCACAGGUGGAGUGCUGUCGUCGGGAUACACCUCAUUUCCCUUCUUAUGCGUCUGGUUCUUCGACAGCUCUUUGUCUUGGAGGAGAAAGAGAGAGAUUUACAUUUGGAUUUCUUUUUUUAUUUCUUUUGAUUUCUUUUUUUGUUUUGGUUUCUGUGUAGGACUGACCGAGAGAUGAGAAAGAGAGAGAUUUGGUUUUUUGGAUUUUUUGUGAUUUUGCAGAUCCACGGUGGUGGUAUGAAAAAUUGAGAAAGAAACUGACAUAGUUUUUGUAUCGAUUCCCACAGACGGCGCCAAAUGUUGAUGUAUAAAACCGGAGGUUUUGGAACAACGUAAAUCCGACCGUGAAUCUGCAAGAAAUGUAAAUAACACAAGAUGUAUCGUGGUUCACCCCAAAGUUUGGGCUAUGUCCACACUGAUUGUAUAGUAUUUCUUUGAGAAGUGAGGGAGAGAGAGAGCUCUGAGAGUGAGAGCUUUGAGAGGGGUGAGAAGGCUCUAGAAAUGGCCUCCCAAUUGUGAGGGUGGGGGGUCCUUUUAUAGAAUAAGGACUCCUCACUUAUUACAUAUUUGCCCUUUCCUUUAUUACCUUAUUACAUUUAAGUCCCCCGAGUAUUCAUACGAGGUCUAAAUACGAGGCCCUAAAUAUGGUAUAAACAGACAUAAAUUUAAGAAAGUGACUAAAAUUUUCAGUAUUUGCUUGGGAACACUUGCAUCCAAUCAUAGACUAAAAAAAUAAUCUAUUCAGAAAAAUAAAAGAGAAACGAAAAAAUUACUUACAAAUUCCUUGCCGUCUUCUUCUUAUUCAAAUUUUCAUCUCUAACAAAAGCUCUGAAAAUAAAAGUAAAACUGUAAAAGUCACAAAAAACAAUCGAAGAGAGUCAAUCGGAAACCGCAAAUAUCACAAAGCAAUCCAAAACCAAAACAAAAUUAAAAUAAAACUGCAGUAGAAACCCAAUUAGAAUAUUGCGAUCCCGUGGCCUGAUGCUUCAUCUCUGAAAUGCCUUUUUUUUUACUUUUAUGCUUUUAAUCUCUUGGAAGUCCAUAACAUGGCAGUCUUGGAAUUCCAUCAUAAAAAAAACUCAAACCUUUUCUAUCAUUUUGACACAUGUACGAAAAAUUGUUCAAAAGAAUUACAGAUAGCCUAAGUUAAAGAGUAUGUUAAUACAAUACCUUUACAUUUUAUUCACUUGGUGGUGCAGUCUUAAUACAUAUAUCCUAAGUUUUUAGAAAUUUAAAUUAGCUCAUGCAAACACAUCAUUAAAGUCUUCUAAAAAAUUUGACCAUUUGUGUGAUCACUCUUCUCGACCUAUGUUGAUCUCAUCUCUAAUGCAUGAAUUCCUUCUUUGUGAGAAAUAUCUACAUGGGCCAAUCCACCCAUGUAUAUGCAUUGCAUCAAGAAGAGAACAUGUACUCAUAUGUUGACAUUUCAUGUAAAGAGUGUGAUUAUUCGUGUCUCCUAACAGUUAAUCUUCAUUUAGGUUUGUAACGGAACUCUAUAUCGAUCAAUUCAAAAUUUCUCACCACAGUUUUCAUGGAUUAGAAACUGAGAAUCUUGUUAUUUCCAAACUGAAUCUAAUUUUUGCACCGGCGCUAUAUGAACCCCUAAACAUCACUUUACAUUUGUUUCAUGAAUGAGUAAACAAUAAUGGUAUUAACGUUAAACUAUAGGACCUGGCACAAACACUUUUACUAAUCAAGCGCGGGACAUAUUUAUCCUUAUUUUGUGAUAAGGAUGAUCAUGCAAACAAUGAAUUGCCGUGAAUGGUCACCAUUACUAUAAGGAAACUCAAACACACCCAUAAUGCAAGCAAAACUCUUACGCAGAGGAAUAUAAAAGUUUAUCUAAUACAGUAUCAUGUAUAUUUUCCACACAAAAUUGUAUUCGGCUUUCAAAAUCACAUCCAUAUAAUAUAUUUCAAUAUUAGUUCAUCAACUUUUAAAUGUGAAGAUUGGAGAAUGCUUACCAAAUCGUUCUUGAAGGUUAGCGAUUUUAGGGGUUUGUGGGUUUUCAGAUGUAAAAGAGGGAGUGCGUGUUUCAUCCAACAAGAUUCUCAGUCUCUCAUUAAAAUGUUCAUAAACCCAGUUGAAAAUAAGCACAUUCACUUGCAAAAUGUCUCCUUUGUAAUUGAACCCAUAUAUUGAUGGAGUCAUUCAAGAGUCAUCCACAAAUGCUUCUCUCCAGCAUUUGAACUCGCUCCAACUGGAACUGAUCUCAAAAAAUAUAAAAUUCAAGUAAUCGGGAACUAAAGAUGAAAGAAAAUACAAAUCAAAUUUGAUAAACUGUGAGACCUGUAAAUGCCGAUUGAUUAACCCACCCAAGGUUGCAGACGUCUUCACUGGCUUUUUGUAACAUCUCUCGGGUAGUUACAUUGAACGUUUUAACCAUCGUUAUUCCUUCAUUGGCAAUGUGAAGGUCUCUUUUGAGGUUUUCCUUACUAAAACAAUCUCUACACAUUUGAUAACCUUACAUUAAUAUCCAAUUCAAAAGAAACCAACAAUCCCACCAAAAAAAUAAAAAUCUCCUUCCCCCUCCAAUCUACUACUGAUAAAUUAAUAAGUAGAAUCAAACACACACACUCAUUCCUUCAUACCUAAUGAUAUUCAAUGCAACUGACAAUUACACACUUAUUCCAUGAAUGGGUCGAAGGAGAAGUACUCUUCAUCCCUACUUUUGCAAGUCGUCGUUCCCAUCGCAAAGGGGUUGGAGCAGAUAAAUUUUGGUUUGAAAGGAAUCAAAUUUCAUGCCUGCAUAAAACCCCAUAGAAUAUGAAGAAUUUUAUUUAUUUAUUUUAACGAAAUAAAAGCAGAUUAGGCACAAAGAAAAAUAGAGAUAAAUCAAAACCUUUAAAACAAAUCAACACAAUAUCAUGAACCCUUGCUUAUGAUAAACUUUGUUCUUUAAUUCGUGUCAGUAAAUACAAACUAAAAUUGACUUGGAAAUACUAAAUACAAACUUAUAUAUACAUCCUCAAAGCUGCAGCAGCAGUAGAGCGCAUCAAAUUCAUCACCUAAAAGAUAAACCGUUAAAAAAAACCUAAAAACUAAAAAGGUAAAUUUAGAUAGAGAUUUACCCAAAGUUACUCAAACCUUUGAACUUUGGAGCCUAAUAGAAUCAUCUUGGCCCUAUAACAAAAAGGAGAGAAAGAAUUAAGAAAACUAAAAUAAAAAGCACCAAGAUUUCACAGAAGAUGGAUAUGAAUGGUUGGGAAAUGCCUUUUGAGUCAAGAAUCUCACCAAAUUAAUUCAAAUAGCAUCGCAUGUCUCUCUGUGUGUGUCCAAAUAUCAGUUUGAAAAUUGAACAUGUUUGUGUCAAUGGUUGUGGAGAAAACUGCUUGGAAAGUUAGUGUAGAUGGUGCUGGUAGUUUGUAGAACGUGGAGACUGUUGAAUCCCACGUUCGCGGAGCUUGUUGAACUCUCCGUUUGGAUGCUUUUAUCUCUAUUUUAGUUAAAGGUUUUUUUACCAGUUUGUCCUCCAUUUUUCCUAUUUUUGGAUUUCAAUUGUGAAGAAAACAAAAGGGCUUUCUUGGUAUUUCUGAAUGCUUCACCAAACUGGUCUUCUCCAUUUAUAUAUAUAUAUAUAUAUAUAAAAGAUUGUUUUUUUCUGUGAGAUAUUAAACGCUCUCGCUCUCCUAAAAUGGAGGAGGAGUGGUGUUGGUUGGUUGGGUUAAAUUCAUUUUAUCUCAUUUUUUUAAAUUCAUUAUAUCUCAUUUUUUUCGUUUUUUUUCUUUGAAAACUGAUUUGCGUCGAACGUGGUUGAAUUUGUGUCUUCCACGUUUGUUCUUUUCAAUUUUAUCUCCUUUUUUUUCUAAUUUUAUCUCCUUUUUUUUCUAAUUUUAUCUCCUUUUUUUCUAAUUUUUUUCUUUUUGGUUAAAUUCAUUUUACCUCCUGAGUGAUCUGACCUCCCGAACCUUGCACCAAACUAAGGAAAAUGAAGAGGAGGUUUGGCGUGAAAAAGCUUUAAAAAUGGAAGAGAAGUUAGAGGACGGUGGGGGGGGGGGGGACGAAUGAGGGUGUUCUAUAACCGUAAAACUCCAUUGUAGAUAAUUAUCAUCAUUUUUUUGUUAAUUAAAAUAGUUAGUUUUAAUUCUAAAGUAGAGAUAUAUUUUUUUAAUACAGAUUUUUUAGUUAUGGUUUUUUUUCCGGGUUUGUCCUCAUUUUCUGGAUUUGGAUUGUGAAGAAAACAAAGGGGCUUUCUUGGCAUUUUUGAAUGCUUCACCAAACUAGGGCUCUCCUUUUAUAUAUAUAGAUAUAUAGAUUAUCAGAACGUACAUAGUUCCACCAUGAUCAUGGAAAAGAUUUGGACCCGUUCAUAUGUUGUUUUGAGUAUAAAAUUAACAAAACAAAAAAAAGAUGAAAUGACCUACUAUCCAGUCACUAUUCUUUCCUUGGUCCUCCCAAAUUUGUAUGCCAAACCAUCGAAAAGUACAUUUCAAUGGGUCAAUAAUCUAUAUGCUAUGGAUGAUCGUGUUUGUUAAUUAUAUGAACUCAAUCCCCUUCUUGGCUUGGAUGUUGAAUGCAUGCACUUUUUUUAUUGCAAAUAAAAUUUAACCUUUUCUUGAUCCUCCCAAAUUUGUAUUUUCAUGGGAUAAAUGGAGAAGCCAAAAUGACUUGUCUUUGAAGUUUGAACUGAGAUAUUUUAAGCCUCCUAACUUGAAAAGAGAAAAGAACAUAAACAGAAUGAAGCUAAACAUGAUGUUCCUAUCAAUCUCUUACAUAACAAAGGCCACUAUAAAGUAGAACUUUAUGUCUAAAUGAUAGCAAACAAAACAAGGCUUUAAAUUGCCAUCAAAUUAAAUUUAAGAAAAAAGAAAAAAAAUUCAGUAUUUGCUUUUCAAAAAACUUUAUUGAGUACCCUUUUCUGGAAGAGUACAUUAGUGACGUUUUGACUGGAAGAGUACAUUUCCCCCACACUUGUUAGAAAAAACAUGCCACAGGUCAUCGUAGGUCCAAAUUUGAAAUUUUGAUUUUCAAACACUUAUACUGCUUAUAUACAUGGAUAAGUAGGAUCGAACACACAUAUUUAUUCCUUCAUUAUUCAGUACAAUUGUCAAUUGCGUAGGGUCGAACUGUUUAAUUAGAUUCUAAUUACAUCUUGAUAUAUAUAGAAACUUACAAUGCCUACGUUCUCGACAUACAUCUUUGAUCUUCAUUGUUGAGCAAAAAUUGUACAUAAUAUGUAAACAAAUAAUUCACUCGACACAAUUUCACCCUCGUUCAUUUUUCCGAAGAGGGUUUUAUUAAUUCGAGUUCGACCCAUUCUAGGCUACGCGCCUAUUAAUUACAACCUUUCUUUUGGGAAAGAAAUACCCUUUGAUUCCAAUUCGAAUAAAAUGUAACUUGAGGAUUUUGGUGUUUGUUUGAUGUUGUGACUGCAUCUAGGUCGAAUCCUAGAUUGCCUACGUACCCUCUUGAGGGAUCAAGUCACUCGUAGUUCACGAUGUAUUUGUUGGAGUUUAAUGCCUUGUGCAGUUUUAGCUCAUGCGGGCAAAGAGCAACUGAUGCCUUGUGCAGUUUUAGCUCAUACAGGCGAGGACUUUAAGCCGUUGGAGCUUUAAUGCCUUGUGCAGUUUUAGCUCAUGCGGGCGAGGACUUUAAACCAUUGGAGCUGUAUGUAACUUCUUGAUUUUUGAGACUUGUUGCAGCUUUGUGUCAUUUGAUACUUGAUACGGCUUCAUGCCAUUUGAGACUUUUCUUCGGCUUCGUGCCAUUGGCCACUUUUCUUCGGCUUUAUUGCAUGAGCAACAUGUAUUAAUUGAAAGUCUAAUAAUUCGUGUUUGAAGAUCUCUCUUACUCUUUGUAGAAUUACUUGAUCAAAAUAGUAAGAAUGAAUUUAGUUUAUAUAAACCAGAGAUUCGUUUCGGCUUUACGGUUGCGUCUAAAACUUUGAUAUCAGACUGCCUACGUAUCCUUAACGGAAUCAAACCGGCGUAGUUCAUUAAUUUUGAGACUCAUCGCGACUUUGUGCUAUUUGAUACUUGAUAUGGCUUCGUGCGUUUUGAAGUUUAACACGGCUUCAUGCUUCUUUUUUAUGUACUUUUCUUUUGAAUUUUCAACCCCUGGAACUUUGAACCCACUUUGGAUUUUCAAGCCUUCUGACAACAAGCUUUACUCCUCCUUUUUUUUAUUUUUUUUUAUGUGACUUUAAAACUUUCCUCUUCUUCUUCACGUGGGCAAUUUUCCAUAUGAGUUGAUGAUUUCAGUUAGCAUUUCCCCUCUCUCGUUUUAUAUUCUUCUUUGAACUUUUCAAACCCAUUUAAACAUGUGAUUUCGAACCCAUCAAACCUAAACUUAUGACCAAUCUGACAUCAAGAUUUACACUUCUUUAUUUGACUUUAAAGGUCUCCAAUUCCAAUGGGACUUCUAAUUUCAAUCGACCUUACUUUUCCUCUAUAUGAGCAGAUUCCCACGUGAUGAACAAGACUAUUUCUUUGUUCCUCUUUUUCCUGGAACGUCUUCAAAGAAUGGAGCAGCAGUAACGUGUCAAAUUCUUUGGUGAUCUUAUGAAGGACAGGUUUUUGAGGACAUGGUCUCCAUACUUCUUGUUCUCAGAGCCAAAAUUGAUAAACUCUUAUAUGAAUAAAACAAAUGAAAAAGCCAUUGGUUUUCUUCUCUUUAUUUAAUCUCCAUGUAGAGCAAUAUUCCUACGUGAUGAGCAACUUUUCCUUCUUUUAUUUUCCUUCCUUUUCAUUCAUUUUGUCUUGAAGCCCAUUUCAUUUUGUCUUCACGUCCGUCAUUUUGUUGUUGCUUUUCCAUGUUCGUGCUUGUUGCUUGUUGCUGCAGUAUUCAACAUCUUCAACUUUGAAAAGAUAGAGCAUGGCGUCGGAACUCUCACGGAAAUUUCAGGUUUGAUUGGAACUUCACGGGAUGGUUUAGACAACCCCGAAGAAAUUCAUAGGACUAAACUGCAGCGGCACAAACUGCUCCUUUUUCUUCUCGGCAUGGACGAACUUGCUGGGCAGAGAUCACGGCAUGGCUGCUGCUGGUAUGUCCAUCUUUGCGCUGUUGGCGAGCCUCGGAACCAUCGUUGGACAUGCUGGGUUCUUUUUUUCCACUUGUUCAAACAUGCAGAGUGAUGGUUUCUUCUCCGUUGCAUCUCUGAGAAGAGAAAGAGAGAUGUCGAAAACCUCUUUAGACACCCGAGAAGCUGCAGGAGCUUCACAGAGAGCCUUUGAGCCUCUGUAAUCUGUUUUAAAGUGCAACUUUAGAACCAUUUCCGCUGCAUCCUUGGACCUGGGGACAUGACACUUUUCCCAAAUUUUCGGCUUUCUUGCCUUCGGAUGUCUUCCACAUUUUCUGAAAGCCUUGGGUUAUUCUCGCCACUGCCAGUGGGAUGGGGAUGGCUCAUGGCGAUUGGUGUUGCAUUUUUUCUUUCAUUUCUUCACACUGACCAUCGCUGCCAUCUUCUCAUACGAGCCUUUGUCGAAUUUGUUAAUGGUCUGGACCCGCGUGCCUAACUACAUCGCUUGGCUCAACGUCCUUGGAGUGCGGAUGGCACUGCCCUUGGGCUUCUUCCGAAAGACUGCCGGAAACAACGGUUGAAGAGCGGUGGUAUUGCGGUUUGGUUGAUUGCUUGGUUCACCGUCCUCGGGGCCCUUGGGCUUCUUCCGAAGGAAUGCUUGAGACAAUGGUUGAAGAGCGGUGGUGACUGGGUUUUUAUCAAAGCAACGCCCCUAUUAAAAGGGGUGGAUUGCUUUACCUGUUGUCAGCAAAAUUAAGGGGGAAGGAGAAGAGAAUUUUUUCUUCUCUUAUCUUUUGGCUGCCACGGGGAAAUUUGCCCAUCCAUCUUUCUGGCUUCGGUGAGAGAGGAAAAGCCAAGUUCCUCUUUCAUUCAUCCUGCAAAAAGCUGCACCCAAUACACAAAACCAAGAACAAGUUAAAGAUAAAGAUCGAUACCUUUGGGUAUUUUGACGUUCUUUGUCGUGUGCACACUUUGAUGUUCUUUGUCGUGUGUACACCUUCCUCCUUUCUUGUUUUUUUUUUUUUUUUUGCUGUUGUGUACUUUUCCCCCCACUGUCUUGCUUUGUUCUUCUUUGUCGUCCGUUCUUCACCGUCGUCUCUCAAUUUCUGCAGUCUCUCUUUUUCUUUUUCUGUUUUUUUUUUCUUUGCUUUGGUUCGAUGCCUUUUUAUAGGCAAACAGUGGACAUGGCAGUUGAAGUUAGUGGGAUGCAACUUUCUUGGGGUGUGGAGAUGCUGAGAGAAAACCAUAUCUUGAGUGGAGAACGUGAGAGUUUUAGAGGGUUCUAGAUUCACACGUUCUCUACACCCAAUUGCCAUGUAGAUGACAAACUCCUUCAGACUUGGUGUACGUUGAGGUCCACGUGUGCGGGUAUAGAGUUGUUUUUUUCCUCUCUUUAUUUCUUAUAUAUAUAUUAUAUAAAUAUAGUAUACAUAAGAAUAUAUGCACAUAAAGUGAGCCUUAUUUCUAGUCAGUCCAUAUUUUGGACUCUAUUAUUAUUACUAUUAUUAUUUUUAAGUCUCCCCAUUUUUAUUAAGACUUGCUAAUAUAUUUUGUUUAUGAAAAUAUAUAGCUCAACAUUCAUCCCAACUCUCUCCGUCUUGGAGUCUCAGUAAUUUCCAUAGCCUAGUCACCUUCGACCUCAUUCUACAACCGUGUCAACGAAGAAGUCGUCGUAUCCCAUCGAGAAGGGCUGGGAGUAAACAGAUUUUUGGUUAUAUAGAAAUUAAACUUUUUGCCAUCUGGAUGUUAAAACCCUAUACAAUAUGCAGAUAUUUUUAUCAAAAUAAUAUGCAGUGUAAAUUAACACAACAAUAUGAACCCUUGAUUAUGAUAAUCUUUGUUCUUUGAUUCGGGUCAGUAAAUACAAACUAAAAUUUACUUAGAGAUACUAAAUACAAAUAGUUAAAAAAAACAAAUAAUAAAAAAAAAAUCCUAAAAACUGAAUAGGUAAAGUUGAGAUUUACCCACAAUCAGUCAAAGCUUUGAACUCUACUUCUUGUCCAAUGGUUGCAAUUAGCACACAUAGGCCUUGUUUGGCACACCGUAUAAGGCACCAGAUAGUACUAAUAAUACGGUGUACGGUGUUUGGUGGCCGUUUGGAUUAAAUAGGCACCGGAUUAAAUAAUCUGGGCCCACCUUUUUUAUCUGGUGUUUACCUGCUUGCGUAUAUCGUCCAAAUUCACAGUAUAAUUUAGUCGGUCUCACUCUCGCUCUCGCUUCCCCUCCGCUCUCUCUCUCUCUCGCUCUCCGCUCGCGAACUCGACCCCCUUUCUCUCGCCUUCUCUUGGCGUCGUCGUCCUCCCUGUCACCUUCUCUCGCCAUCGCCGUCCUCACUGUUGCCUUCUCUCGCCAUUGCUUUCUCUCGCCAUAUUUGCUCUCCUAGUCCUCGUCGCCUUCCUCGUCGUCCUCUCCUUAUGGCCUUCCUCAUCGCCUACUCGUCGUCCUCCCUUGCAACUGGGUUUUUUGUCGUCGUUUUCUGCGGCAGAGAGAUGAUUUCAAUUUGCUGUUUGAAUUUAUUUGGGAUUCUUCUGCAGUCGGAGAAGAAGAAGAAGAGAGAGAGGGAGGGAGUUUGGGGGUGCGGCGGAGAGAUAUGAGGAACAAUUAUUUGGGAUUCUUCUUUGGUCGGGGAAAAAGAAGAAGGAAGAGAGAGGGAGGGAGUUUGGGGGGUGCGGAGAGAUCUGGAAAAAGUUUCAGUUUUUUAUUUUUUUUAUUUUAAGUUUAAUUUUAUUUUAAGUGUGAUUCCUCCUAUCCGAUAUAAUAUCAAACAUAGUAUAAAUAAUACGGUCAUUAAUCCGAUACUGCACCAAACGCCCGAUUAAUUUAAUCAGUACUAUCCGGUGACUAUUUAUCUUAUCCAACAGAAAUAGUCAGUACAGUCCGAGCUGCUAAACAAGGUCACAGAAUUGUCUGGAGCCUAUAACAAAAAUAAGAAGAGAAAAUGAAAAAAUAAAAAUAAAAAAGCACGAAGCUUUCACUAUAAAAUAGAAUUUUAGAUAUGAAAUUUUACCCAAGAUGGAUAUAAAUGGUUGGCAAAAGCCGAUUGCGUUAAGAAUAUCCCCAAAUUAAUCCAAACAGUAUAGCACGGUCUCGCUUCCAAAGGGCUUGAAACUGGAACUCUGAUACUAAUUGGAAUGAAAUCCAUGUGAGUACGUGUGAGAUUGGAAAUCGAAAAUAGCACUUUAAAACUGAACGGUAUUAUCGCUUCUCCAUGUAACUGCAAAGUAUGUGCUGUUAAUGCCGAAAACGUGGAGGAGAUUAUAUUGUGCUUUUCCUUUUGAAAUUCCACUGGAGAAAGGCGCUUUUGUAGAAGGAUGUAGUUCAUUAUUUAUGUGAUGGGUAAUCCAAGGGUCUCAAUUAAUUUGAAAGUGUUGGUGCCUUGCGUUUGAUGGUUGUAAAUUCUCAUUUAUUAUAUGUGCAGAUAUAUUGUCCGCAUCUAAACAUCUCUCAAUAUUUUAUUUUUUGUAUGACAAUUUUAACCCUAUUAUAUUUGUGUAUUACCAUUUAACCGUAUUAUAUUGGGACAGUCGUGUAGUUUUUUAUUUUUUGAAAUGAGGAUAUUUUGGGUUUAUCGAAUGCUUCAUCAAAUUGUGGCUCUCAUUUUAUAUAUAUAGAUAAUUUGGAGAUUUUUACUUGAUUAUCAUUUGAACUAUUCGAAAUUAUUUAUCUUUACCAGAUUUUUUUAAUGGGUUUUGGACCAAUUUGUAGAAAGCUCCCUCUUUUGUGUAUUGGUUAUUCAGUUUCUAGCUUAAUUGUUGCCAUUCUAGAAUGCCAGAGACAUUUAUAGGAGUUACUGAAGUUACUCAAUUACCAGUUCUUUACAAAAAGCCUUCUUCAGCCGCAGAAAUUCUUGAGCUUUCAUCCCACCAGAGAUUGGUGGCUUCAACUGUUGGAAAAUAUUAUUAUUUAGUUUAUUUUAAUGUUUGGUUUUAUGAGCUCAGCCCUUAGAAUUAGGUUUUGUUAGAGAUUAGGUUUAGUUUAUUAUAAAUAGGUUGCUUUGUUAUUCAUUAGAAAAUAAUUCAUUCACAAUGUAGUCUCUAGGGUUUUUGUAGCCGUCUCGUCAUUCUCAAUUCGUUCUUUUAAUAAUAUUCAUAUUAUUUGUUAGUCUUGUUCGUUGCGCACUCUGAUAUUCAACUUGGUAUCAGAGCAGGUUAAAUCCUUCGGGAAUUAAUCUGUUUUGGGGUUGAUAUCGAUUUGUUUGUUUGUUCACUAUCAGUUUUGUUUUAAUUAGGUUUUUGUUGUUUGAAAACAAAGAAAAAAAGUUGAACCUGUUUGCUUGGGACUUGGGAGGCAUCCCAAACCUGCACCGAAGCUGCUGUUUGCAUCCGCUCCACUCUGUCAUCAAGCCACAAACCCAACCCACCUGCUGCAACCUUUCUCUCUUGCAGAAUCACCCGCACCGUUUCUGCACCUGGAUCCGUCUCCACCACCCUACACCCGCGAAGAAUAAAAAGGCUGAUGUUGUUGGUUUGCACGGUAAAAAAAAAAAAAAUAGAAAGGAUCUUGCUGCUGCUGUUGUUUGUUCGCACAGAAAAGGAAAAAAAAUUGGAUUUUUUAUUCUUUGUUUGUUUGUUCGGAAGUUGGAAUUUCCACUGGCAUUGGAAUCUUGCACUAGCAUGAAAAUCUUGCAUUGGCAUUGAAAUCUUGCACUUGCACCGGUGAAAUUUCAUAUGGGUAUUGGCAUCGGCAUUGACACUAGCAUUGGAAUUUGGAGUUUUGCAUCCACAUCUACUUUGGCAAACCCAUGUCGUGAACCGCCAUGAGUUUGACGGGGGGGUGUUGGAAAAUAUUAUUAUUUAGUUUAUUUUAAUGUUUGGUAUUUUGGGCUUAGCCCGUUAGAAUUAGGUUUUGUUAGAGAUUAGGUUUAGUUUAUUAUAAAUAGGUUGCUUUGUUAUUCAUUAGAAAAUAAUUCAUUCACAAUGUAGUCUCUAGGGUUUUUGUAGUCGUCUCGGCAUUCUCAAUUCGUUCUUUUAAUAAUAUUCAUAUUAUUUGUUAGUCUUGUUCGUUGCGCACUCUGAUAUUCAACUUUCGUCGUCGCUCAGGCUGAUGACCCAUUGGUGUCGGGUACGGUUUAGUUUUGUUUCUUUUUUCGCGGAUUUAAUUUGAUGUAUUGUAUUAUUUAUCUGAUGACGAUGCUCCACUAGCUUCGAAUUUUGUGCGGCACUGAAACACCCCAACCCCAUUUUAUUUAAAAAUUGUUUUAAGGUCUUAAUUGGUGAGCCCGUAGGGCCCACCUUAUAAUUUUUUUUGUUUUCCCCCAGUCUCUCUCUUCCUUCUUCGUCUCUCUCCCCCGUAACUCUCCCUUAGCUCUCUCCCUCUCAGCUAUCCCGUACCUCUCUCCCUCAACCUCUCACAUCUCUCUCUUCCCCUGGACUCACUAGGACCGAGUCACCAUCGAAGAGAGGCUCGCAACGAACCAGGGAUCCCUGCACUGCGGCUCGACGGCACGGAGCAAAGCUCCGGCGAGUUUUCCCCAUUUUUCCGUCGGGUAGGUCUCAAAUCUCUCACUCUCGUACCUAGUUCUUGGUUUGGUUGUGAUUUAGAAGCUUGAACCUUACCUUUUUACGUAGGUUUUUGCUUCGGAACGGUCGUGGGUGCAACACCCACUUUUUCCGGUGAACCCGUGCACCCCGAGGACUUUCCCGGUCACCUCCGACCGAGUUACGAUGUUAGGAAGGUAUAAAUCUCUUCCUCUCUCCUUGUGCUUCACGUUCGUACCUAGAUCGGAGCUUGAAGCUCCAGUUUUCAGGUGACCGGAGCUGUAGCAGCUCCGGCCUUCUCUCUCGGCAAGCCACAGGCCAAACCGGCCUUUCCCAUUUUCCUUUCCCACGGGCCUCCAGCCCGUUUUGCCUUAGCCCAGUACCCUAACCCAUUCCAUUUUUAUUUUUAGUUAUUUAAAUUUUUUAAAGCCCAAAGGGCUCGGGCCCUAGCUUUUGUUUUGGCCUUGGGCCGGUUUUUAAUCAAGGGCUUAAAGCCCUGUUUUCUGUAGUGAGGCCUGAGGGCCUUGUGCCCGUGUGUGUGUGUGGCUAAGUUUAUAUGUUUGGGCUUAAUGCCCAAACCCCUUUCCAUCCCCUUUUAAUUCUAGAGCCCUAGGUUCCCAAAACCCAUUAAAAACCCUAAACCCAUCCAAUCCCAAAUCCCUUAUUUAAAUUAAUUCAAAACCAAUCUUUUAGAAAAAUCAUUUUAUUAAUUAUACAUUCUUGUUCUUAGGUAAAAUUGCUAGUGGAGAAAUUCUAAAUCCUUAUUCCCGCAACUCUUCUGCUAAGGAAUAUUUGUGAGUGGACCCCUUCUAAAAUUACAUGAUUUUAUAGUUAAUUGCAUAAAUGAUUAGCAUGCCUACGAAUUUAUGAAGUGAUUUAGGUGAAGCCUGUUGAUUAAAUAUAUAUUGAUUAUCGUCUCGUGUUUUGGUGAGGAAUUAAUUGUUAGCCUAUACUGAGCUAUAUUUCAAUAUAUCGUAUUUUCUAUAAAAACCAUGAACUGGUAGACUAUCUGACAGAUGACGAUAGGAUGCUAGAACAUGUUUUUGAACCCCUCUUUAUAGCGUAGACGAUAUUCGGUAACCUAUGCUAUGAAGUGGUUAUUUAAGAGAGACGUAACUAUUUGUGCGUACCUAGUGGACACUAUGCCGCCUGGGGCGAGGAUCUGGUGUUGGCAUGUAGGCCGGGAGAAAUAAUCCCUAACGAAAGGCUGAGGGACACGGAGACAGGCAUUGGGCCGGGAGGGAGUUAUCUCUGGCUACGGGCACAGAGACUGAGGUGCAGGCAUUGGGCCGGGAGUUAUAUUUAUUCAGUGAUCUUUCUAGUAGCACACCGCGUUUACGAGACGUUUACUGUUUUGAUUUUCCGCGAUGUUAUUCCGCGAUAUGGCUUUUUGAGAUACUUUGGUAUGCUAGGAUUUCUUAUUAAAUCCAUCACUUACUAUGCUAGUAGUUUUCACUAUUAAACUUUGGGGGUUAGUAUGUUGAUAAUUGUUUUAUUAUUAUUAUAUAUAUAUAAACUUGGUCCACUCACCUUUGUUUUGCGCCCCCAUUCAGGACUUAGAAUCAAGGCACCUAAUCCCGGCGUGGAGACACUUCCGCAGCAGCAUCUUCGGAUCCUCUCGAUGUAGGACCCACUCCUUUAUUCGUUAAAUUUUAUCUUAAUUCCUUUUAGUGAUUAGGUUUAAUUGUAUGCUCUGAGCACGUUCCUAAAUUAUAAAUUCUUGGUAUUUUAAAUUCAUAACCCUUAUUUAUUUCUUAUUCUUAGCUUUUGUAUCAAUUAAUGGCUUUCGUCACCCUCGGGUGUCGGCCAACACGUGUCUAUCCUGGUAUUCGGGGAAUAUCAGGGUCGGGGCGUGUCAGGCACGUUAGGCCAUCUCUAACCGAAGGGUCCAGAGGGCUAGAGGGUCGAAAAUAGCCCUAAAACCGUCUCCAACCGAGGGCUAGGCCAGAGGGCUCGGGAAUAUGGGAGGGCCCCAUGGAAUUUCAAAGGGCCAAAGGGCCAAAAGGCUGGCUGCUUUCGACCAGCCAGCCAGCCCCGGGCUGGCUAUUUUUUUUUUUAUAGUUUUCCUAUUGUUGUUGGUUAUAACCGACAUCAUUAAAUAAUGAUUUUUAAUACUGUCGGUUAUAGGCAAAAUUUUUUAUUUAUUUACUAUUAGUGUCGGUUAUAAUCGACACUAAUAGUUUGAAAUUUUUUUGAAUAUAACAGCUAGCUGAGUCAGCUAGCCGUUGGGUUUUUAUUUUUUAAUUUAAACAUUUCUUUUCUUCCAUCCCAUCCACAUAAUUAAACUUCAUACACCAACCAACAUUGAAUAACUCUUGAACAAUAAUAAUUAUAUGAUUCAAUGUUCAUUCAACGAAGAGUAACACUAAAUACACAUUAGUGGAUCUAUAAUUUUAAUAUUGGGUGGUCUUAAUUAAGGUAUGUUUUACGCUAGUUUAACAGCUGGUUGGAACUUAACACUUAUACACCUAGAUAAGACCUACGCUUUAUUAAUUAAAAUGUUAGGUGGAACAACCUCAUUGAAUAACAAUUAAAAAAAAUGUUAGGUGAGACCUAUGCUUUUUCAUAUAACUUCUAUUUUUUUCUAUAACUUCUAUUUCACAAAAUUUGUUUCAUAUUUUUUUUUAAUUCUAUUUUUUUUCCUAUAACUUCCUAAACCAUUGGAUUUGAAUUUAAGUUAUAGUUUUUAAAUAAUAACUUAUGUUUGGCCCUAUAGCUCUCUGUUGGAGACAGUUUUUUGUGAAAUGGCUAAAACGAGUCAUCUAGCCCUCGGUUGGAGAUGGAGACAAAUAUGGUCAUGUACUGUUCAUUAAAAUAUUAAUAUCUUGGAGAAUUUUGGAGGGGCAGAGGGCUAAAACAAGCCUUCUGGCUAGCCAUCGGUUGGAGAUAGCCUUUGAUCAUCCAAGGGCUCUCAAUAGAGUUAGGGCGGCGGGAUCCGGAUCUGAGAUGGUUGAACACUCUAUAGCCAGUUAAUACUUUUGCCCACCAAUCCGCUCGGUUAUGUAAAUAACCUCUGGGUUGUGAUGGUUCUUUAUCUCUCUUAGUUGAGAUUCUUUGAAUUUUUUGUUCACAUUUUAUGCAAUUGAUCGCUGGGCAUUUGAAGACGAACAUGGAGGAAAAAUUGGAUAAUUAUCCUCCUAAACUGAGCAGUUAUUAUAAUUAUAACACGUUAAAAAAAAUUGGAGCUCAAAUUUGAAAUUGCAAUUGGUUUUUUUCCUUUCCUGCAAAAACUAAAUCGUCUUCACUCUCAGGUAUGUUACUUUGAUGUUUGAUUUAUUUUUAAUUUCCCUUUUUAUCGUUAACUCUAGAUUUGAUCAAAUAUAUAGGCUGAUUGGUGAAUCCCCAGUGAUCGAUGCGUUUUCAAUAUAUGAGUUGGUGGUUUCAUUCUUUUGGGUAACUUCGUUAAGUCUUUUUUCCUCCUGUCCAUGAAUUCAUUUUAAUUAAUUUUUUAGAAAUGUUCAUUUUUGGUUUCUAGGAAAUUAAGGCUCUGUUUGGUAUUCUACUUGAAUCCAAUUUUUUUAACUCAAAAAUAAUUUUCAAGUUUUAGGCCUUAAAAACUUGUUUGGUAUGACUAUUUUUAAAAAUUGAACUCAAGACUAACUCAAAAAUAUUGUCUAUUAUCUAAAAACAUAAAAAGUGAGUUUUUAGAGUUUUUAAAUUUAAAUUCACUCAUUUCUUUUCUCUCCCUCCUCCCCUCACUACAAAUCUAUCUCUCUUUUGUUCUUUCUCUCCUCUUUUUUAUUUUACCUUUGUCGUCUCUUCUCCAAUCUGAUGUCUUCAUUCUCUCGAUUCUUUCUCUCACUCCUCUUUCUCUCUAUCUCGUCCGAUCCUCUCUCUUCUUUCCCUUUCCUUUAAUCAUCUCUUACUUUUUUUUCCCAUCUUUCCUCUUUCUCCCUCUCCUACGACUCUCUCUUUUUAGAUAUCUUUGUCUAUUUUAAAGCACAAACCAAUCAAGUUUUUUAGUCUUAAAGAAAAUUAUUUUCAAGAAAUAUUUUGAGAAAUGAUAAAAAAAUUUAAAUAGGAUACCAAACAUACACUAAAAGUUUGAACCUUUUUUAUCUGCUUCUAUUUCCUGCGCGCAUACUUUUUUUAUAGACAAUUGGUGGACGAUGUUUUGAUGGGAGGGCGGCUGUCACGUAGGACGACGAUCUAUGCUUUGUUUUAUGGGCAUGCCCAUUUUCUUAACAUGUGUCUCAUAUUUCCCAUUCUGUUUUUCCUAUUUUUCAAUUCACGCUUUUCUCUUUCUCACUCUUCGCCCGUAGAGCCGUCAGGUGUGUCGAAGUGGUUGGAUAUGUUUGAUGUGAAACAACUGGCGUGCUCUGAGAGGCUACGUGAAGGGUAUAUUUCUAUUUUCUUUUUCUUCCAUGUUUUAUUUAUUUAUUGGCGAUCAAAUGAUACUUUGUUCUUCUUCCAUUUUGGAAGAAAAAUGUUACAAUUGCUCUAUUCUGUAAUGGUUUCAAGGCUCUACAAAAAGGUCGUACCCAGUGCACAAGACUUCCGCUUUACGCAGGGUCUGGGAGAGGUGAAUGUCGGCUAGCCUUACCCCAAUUUAUGAAGAUGUCCUUAAUUGUUUAUGUCAUCUUUAGUUUAUCUUAAUAAUGUAAUCUACGAUCAAACCUAUAUGUAGUAUGAACACUAUAUCAGAGAAGGGAUUUUUAUUUUCGUACUUUGUAUUCAGAGGAAACAAAGAAGAACCAUGGGAAGACAUCUACAGUCGGUCCAAGAACAGUGAUUAUAGAAUUUGGGUUCAACUCCUUCUUAUUUCCUGUAAUCAGUUCAACUUCUUAUUUCCUUAUAUUCAGUUGGAUUUCCUCUUCGUUGGGGUUGAUUAUAGAAUUUGGGUUUGUCAUUUGGUGUUUUAAGUAUUCGUAAGAGUGUUUGCUUAUUUUUUAGGGUGAUAUCCUUAUCGCGUUGCCCUUUACAUGGACCAAAAUAAAGAAAGAGACUUGGAACCCUUACUUUCUGUAAGUUCUUUUAGGAAGGGGGAAAAGUACGGGUGGCACUACUUCUCCUUUUAUUUGAAUAGGAGUGAGGAGACAAGAAUGUAUAUACACUACAAGAAAAAAAAAGUCUAAGAACACAAUUCAUUGGUGCCCUUUUCAAUUUCAUUGAGCACAGAUAUGUAUUUGUGCUUUUAUGUUUCAUUGAGCACAAAAUUAUCUCGAAUUGAUAAAGUAAACAUGUUCUUUAUCUGAGUAUGCUUUGUCUAUUUUUGUUACUUCAUGUUUCGAUCACUUCUUUGCAUAAAUAAGAUGCCGUGCAAGCAAGUAAAGCUUUCUGGGUUUUACAUGUCUACUGAUUUUGAAGCUGGAGUGUCAAACCAUGAAAAUGGUUGUCAGAUUGCGGUUUAAGAGUUGCUUGACUAUUAAAUAUUUUACGUUGUUUAAAAUAUUGUUCAACGAAGAGUUGCUUGGCUAUUAAUUAGUGUAAGAUUCAGAGGAAUGUAGUUUAUCAUACUCAAGAGUGCAGGUAGUAUUCUGUGAUUUGGCAUAAUUUUGUAUGUAAUUGAUUCUUCUUCUCUAAUUCCCCUAUUUCCUUUUGUUCUGUAUAUAAUGGAUCGUCUUAAAUUUACAGGUUCAUGGCUCAUUCAGGCUUCAAAUGAUUUGAUUACUUUCUUUUUAGGAAUAUGAACUGGAACAACUUCGAAGUUCGGGUGUAAUUAUUUGUCUUAUCAAGUAAUUAACUGUAUCUUAUCUGUUUGUUUUUCAUGCAUGGGAUUGUAUUUUUGAUUGGAAGGUUAUAAAAAUGAACACCUUUUACAGUGCUCCAAAAUACGAUAGAUAUACAUGUUUUGCACAAAUUAAAACAAGAUUAUUACUACAUUAUGUAUUCAAUUUUAAUUAAGGUACAAUAUCUAUACCAAAUAAAAUAGGGUUGGCAUAUACACAUUAAGAGAACAACCUCCAUUUGCACUUUUAAUAGAAAAAGGCUCGGGUAUGAUUGUAAAAACAAAAACAAAAUUGUUAACCCAUUUUUCUUAGAAUAAAAACAUGAUUAGGCGAUCUACUAAUAAAGAGAUUGGAAACUAAUGUAAUAAACUUUCAUCUUCUAUAGGAAAAUACAAACAAGUUAAGCAUGACCAAUUAAGAAAACACCAUUUGCAAAUACAUAAAAUUCGUCAAUCAGCUCUCAACGAGUAAGAAUGUCGAUAGACAAAUGAACACCUAAUGCCUCCUAAAAAAGGCUGUUUUAAUCCUCUCACACGCAAGUGUUGUUUCACUAUUGCAUGAAAACAACCAACACAAUAUAUAAUUAAAACCGCGUAGUGCCGGUAAUUAAAAAAAUGCCUCUUGCGUGACCAUGAUAAAAGAGACCAUGAUUUAGUAAUGGCACCAUCACAUUACAAGUAGACUUUAUGUUUUUGUAUGUACAUAUUGUGCAUCGUUUUGUUUUGAAUCAAUGUAUCAAAACAUUCCAUCAUUUGAUCAUGAUAUAUAGCUUGAAAAAUGUGACAUACGCCAUACAAUUAAACAUUAAUGCCAUUUUAGUUUACAUAGUUAUCAAACAAAUUUCUUGCGCCCUUAAAGAUGUCGUGCAUUAGUUGUUUUCAAUUUGUUUAGUGAGCCAUUUUGACAAUUACAAUGAAAAAAACUAAUGCAAGACAUAUAUAGGGGCGCGUAGUGCACGUGAUUGAAAAAAGGUCUCUCGCAAGUGCGUGUGGAUAGGAUAAUCUAUAUAUAAAUAUAUAGUUUUGUGAGAUAUUAAAUUCUUCUUAUCUCAUUUUUAAAUUUCUUAGAUAUUUUUUUAAAAUAUAAUUUUGUUAGAUUAAUAUUUUCUGCGAAAAUGGAAGAGGAGUGGGGUUGGUCACGUCUUUUUUUCUUCUUCAUUUUUUCAAUAAAAACAAUUUUAAGUUUCUGUUUUUUGUUACAAUACUAUGACUGCGUUUUAUUUUGUAUUUUCUUAUUUUUAUUUCUGUGAGAUAUUAAACGCUCUCACUCUCCUAAAAUGGAGGAAGAGUGGCGUUGGUUGAUUGGGUUAAAUUCUUUUUAUCUCAUUUUUGUUAUAAGAAAAUAAAUCAAGGAUUUCCGCACGUCCCCUUUUUUAUCUCUUUAUUUUUCGUAAUAAAACGAAUUAUAAAUUUUUUCUUUCUGAUAAAAUUACACUCUGUUUGUACCAUACUUGACCAAUCCCGAAACUACUGAGCACCGGUCAACGUUAUACCGUCAAGGACCUAGAAGAGCUUCCCUUCAACCAGGAGGCCAAUCACAAAGCGACACGUGUCGUCAUCAGAAGCCAAUCACAGCUCGACACGUGUCAACAUCAGAAGCCAAUCACAACACGACACGUGUCGAUGUUAGAACAAAACUAGAAACUCUCCUCUAUAAAUAGGGAUCAUUCUCCCACAAUAAUCUCGAAUGUCAUUUUUGUACUAAACUAUUCACUAGAACUCACUAAACCAGAGCUUGAACCUAUGUAUUUGUGUAAACCCUUCACAAUUAAUGAGAACUCCUCUACUCCGUGGACGUAGCCAAUCUGGGUGAACCACGUACAUCCUGUGUUUGCUUCCCUGUCCUUAUUCAUUUAUGUACUUAUCUUCACUAGUGACCGAAGCAACCAAGCGAAGGUCACAAACCUGACACUUUCUGUUGUACCAAAGUCCUUGCUGAUUUUGUGCAUCAACAUUUGGCGCCGUCUGUGGGAAACGACACUUAUUCCCACUCUCUUCAGCUUUGUCAAGCUGGUUUCCACCGCUCAUACACUCUCUUUUGGCCAAGCAUCUCUCUCCGAUAUGGGGAGCGAAAGAAGCCACAGCACACAUAAUGACACCCCCGCUGGACCUAGUAUGAAGCAACGAAAGCAGGAAGGAAAUAAAGUUACUCUUCAAGCUAAAGUCGAUGAGCUAGAGGUUCAGAACAACAAGAUAGCGAUGAAGAAUGAAGUCCUCCAGGAACAAUAUGAAAAACUUUUCGAGAUGCUUCACGAGGCUAGGCAGGCUCAAACACAUAAGCUCGUCGCCCCUGUUGAGGUUAACAAUCAACUGAAUGCCCCCCAACACAGAGGGUCGCCGAUAUCCGACACGGACAUCCCUGAUAGGGAUCGAGCUACACAUCAAUGUGAUAAUCAACAUGAGACUUCUCUCAACCCAGUUGCUUCAACCCGAAGCAGGAGAAGUAGAGGAAAACACCUCCUCACAGAGGGAGUGGAAGGAUCAAAAGCUGUCUAUCGCGAUUGUCGAGACUUCCUAAAACAACGUCGAGAGAAUCCCAUCCACAUAAGCUCGAAGAUCAAUGACCCAAGGGUUUCUGAAAGACUCGGUCCUCUUCCACGACCCAGGCCAGCCGCCAAUCUAGGGAAUGGGCAACAAGUCCCAGAAGAAUAUGAAGGUACUGGGGACUCGAAAACAUUCCGACAUACUCACUCUAGAAGUCAGUGUGGCGAGUCCAAAGAAAGAUCACGCUAUCUUGAUCAAACUUUCUUACUUCCAAGAGGCGAUGGAGACUUAAAGAAGAAAACUUCGGUGGUGCACGACUCCGCUCAGGACCCCCUUGUCCUGCAGCUCCUUAAGGAAGUAAACAAGCUGAAGGCUGAACGUCAAGCCGAGAUACCUGACUGGAACCAACCCAAGCCUGGCCCUCUCACAAGAAGGAUCCUCAAUACUCCCCUCUAAGCGAAGACAAAGCAGAAGCUUGACUUACAGCUCUAUACUGGAAAGGAAGACCCGAUUGAACACCUUAACCUCUUUGAGUCCACCAUGGUAUACCGGGGACACACCGACGAAGAACGGUGCCUUCUCUUCCCCUCCACCCUCUCUGGCGGAGCUUUAAACUGGUAUUGUCGUCUUCCACCUGAGACAGUAGACUCAUUUGAAGAGUUGAGGAAGCUGUUUAUCUCUCAACACAUCUUCCAAACCGAUCGCUUGCAUUCCGCAGAUGACUUGUACACUAUUCGCCAGAAGCCGGACGAGUCAUUACGAAAGUACGCUGGCCGCUUCAGCCAUGAGUAUUCUCGCUGCGCUGAGGCAGAUGACAAGACCGCCCUCAAGGCUUUCACGGCAGGCUUACGUGACUGUUUCUUCAAGUACAUGAUCAAUGCCAACACUUGGAAGACUUACUCUGAGGUGAUGACACAAGCUUACAACCAUGCCUCCGCCGAGGCAAGGACAUAUCAAGGGAAACCCCCUACAGUCACCCCUUAUCAGCAAGUAGGGAGUGGAGGCCAGAUCCAACCGAAUGAAAAGACCUCAACCUUCCAAAUGGUAGCAGCACACCCCCCUGCCUUAUUUAAUGCUUCGCCAAGUCAGCAGACAUAUCAAUCUCAGGGCAAAAUGAAAGACUUCCAUCCUCACCAAUCUCAUUUUAAUAAAAAGAAUAAGGGGCACUAUCGCGAUAACUCAGGAUAUCGUCACAAUAAUGCCCGCCCCCAGGCAGUCAACGCAGUGGGCCAAUCACGUGUCAAGACAGGCCCUACCCCGAGGUAUGAGACAUACACCUCUUUGAAUGCUACAUGUGCUGCCAUCUACCCCAGUAUAGCUCACCUGAUACCAAAGCCAAAGCCAAAACAGCCAGAUUACAAGUCCACGAAGAACACGGGAAUGUUUUGCUGCUACCACGAGUAUAAUGGCCAUGAUAGUGAAAAGUGCAUUAUCCUCCGUGACCAUAUUGAAGCUCUGGCACGUGAAGGAAAAAUUGAUCAGUUCCUCCUUCACCCUCCGAGGGAUAACCGUAACCAACGCCAGGUGAAUGUGAUAUAUUCCGUAAGCGGCGGCACACCCAUGUCUGAAUCUUCCAAUAGGGCCAUGAAAAGAAGUGAACGAACUUUGAGACCUGGCCAUCAAGUGUUUCACGUGGAAGACAUCAGAGGAGGCAAGUAUCAAAAGCCUAACUGGGAUCCAAUAUGUUUCUACCUGAGGAAGAAAGAGGUAUCAUCUACCCUCACAAUGACCCGCUGAUCGUGGAAGCUCACAUAGCAAAUUUUGAUGUGAAACGAAUCCUGAUAGACACAGGUGCUUCAGUCAAUAUCAUGUUUGCUGAAGCUUUCAAGGCACUUAAUGUAGCGGAACACUUGCUCGAUCGCUCGAUUUCUCCUUUGAUAAGCUUCUCUGGCGAUAUCGUGCAACCUUUAGGGAGUAUACACUUACCCUUCACCAUUGGUACAGGCCCCUACACAGCUACUAUUACCACUAACUUCUUAGUGGUCAACUGCCCAACGGCAUACAAUGUCAUUUUUGGGCGCACAGGCAUAAAUGAUCUCAAGGCCAUGGUAUCCACACAUAUGUUGUUGAUGAAGUUUCCAACCCCUUUCGGCAAUGGGUACAUCAGGGGAGAUCAACUUAGUGCUCGAUCAUGUUACAACACUUCAGUCAAACAACAACACCUGUCUGUCCCCAAUGAGACUCUCUCUAUACAUAACCAAGUCGUAAAGACCAGUCCAGAUGAAUCCAACUCGGGUCUUCAGGAUGGCAACAGUCAACCCGACGACCCUCGAGAUGACUCAUUCACCCAGCAAGCACAACCCGCUGAAGAGUUAGAGAAAGUCUCUAUCUCCAAAGACCAUCCAGACCGCAUGGUGAAGAUUGGCACUACUUUGUCACCACCCCUUCGGUUGUCACUGAUCUCCUUUUUGCAAGAGAACGCUGAGGUUUUCGCUUGGUCAUAUAAAGAUAUGCCGGGCAUCUCUCCCGAUAUCAUUUGUCACCACUUGAGUAUUGAUCCCAAGACCAAACCAGUAAAACAGAAGCGAAGAUCUUAUGAUGUUGAGCGAUACGAGGCGAUGAAAGCAGAAGUUGAAAAACUCAAGGACAUAGGCUUCGUCCGUGAAGUCAAUUACCCAACAUGGGUAGCAAAUGUUGUCCUUGUUAAGAAAAAUCCGACCAAGGAAAGUCUCCUGCUUCAAAAGGUCUUGUGGAGAAUGUGUGUCGACUACACCGACCUAAACAAAAGAUGCCCGAAGGAUAGUUUCCUCCUUCCUCUCAUUGAUAGACUUAUAGACUCUACGGCAGGGUGUGAGCUCUUGAGCUUCAUGGACGCUUAUUCAGGAUACAACCAAAUCCUCAUGAACCCCUCAGACCAAGAACACACAGCCUUCACUACUGACAUGGGACUAUAUUGCUACAAAGUCAUGCCUUUCGGCCUAAAGAAUGCAGGAGCAACUUAUCAGAGACUAGUCAAUUCAAUGUUCGCUGAACAGAUUGGGAAGAGCAUGGAAGUUUACGUUGAUGAUAUGUUAGUCAAGAGCAAACAUGCUGACCAACACAUCAUCAACCUAUCUGAAACUUUCACCAUUCUAAAGAGGUAUCGAAUGAGGUUGAACCCCAACAAAUGUGCCUUCGGCGUGGGCUCUGGAAAAUUCUUAGGCUUCAUGAUUAGCCAACGAGGCAUUGAAGCUAACCCCGAAAAGAUCAAAGAAAUCCUCGACAUGAAAGAGCCAGUAACUUCAAAAGACAUCCAAAGCCUUACUGGCAAGGUGGCAGCCUUAACCAGAUUCAUCUCUAAGGCCACAGACAGAUGUGCUCCUUUCUUCAAAGCACUCAAGGGAAAUAAGAAGUACAUUACAUGGACGGAGGAAUGUGCCAAGGCAUUCAGGAACCUCAAGGAGUACAUGAGUAAAGCCCCUCUGCUCUCCAAACCAGAAGUUGGUGACACUCUCAUUAUCUAUCUAUCGGUUUCGGCUUCAGCAGUUAGUUCUGUUCUUAUUUGAAAGGACAGUGGGGUCGAAAGGCCCGUCUACUACGCUAGCAAGGCCCUACAAGAUGCGGAGACACGAUACUCCAACAUUGAGAAAUUAGCUUUAGCAUUGGUCAUGUCUGCUCGAAAACUUCGCCCCUAUUUCCAAGCACACGCCAUUAUCGUGCUUACCAAUCACCCUCUUCGACAGAUACUCCAGAGUCCUGACACGUCUGGGCGAAUGAUCAAAUGGGCAAUAUCAUUGGGUGAGUUUGACAUCUCCUACCAACCAAAACCAGCCGAAAAAGGUCAGGCUGUAGCAGAUUUCAUAGCCGACUUCACAUAUCCUGUUGACAUUGCUUCUACACCUGAAGCAAUAGCUUCAUUACCAUCGGAAGCUCAGAAGAUAGAAUCAACAACCCCAACAUGGAGUCUGUAUGUUGAUGGCUCAUCCAACCAACAGGGCUGCGGAGCAGGAUUAGUCCUUACUACCCCCGACAAAGUGGCGAUGGAAUACGCUCUUCGUUUCAAAUUCAAGGCAUCGAACAAUGAGGCCGAAUACGAAGCCCUUCUAGCAGGCUUACGUUUGGCCAAGCACCUCGGGGUUAAACGAAUUGAUAUCUUCAGUGACUCCCAAUUAGUGGUCAACCAAGUCACGAAUAACUUUGAUGCUAAGGAUAGCUCCAUGGCAACAUAUCUUGCGCAAAUGCGACUUUUGCUCAAGCACUUCCACUACCAGAUCACCCAAGUUCCUCGAACGGCAAACAGUCAUGCAGACGCUUUGGCUCGCCUCGCCUCGGCAGUGGAAGACAAGAUUGGGAGAAAAAUUCAUGUCGAAUUGUUGGCAGCACCAAGCACCAUGGUCAUGGAAGUGUGCAAUUUACAACAAGGAGAUAGUUGGAUCACCCCAAUUUAUAAAUUCCUUGCUCAUGGCAGCCUCCCAAUUGACAAAGUCCAAGCUAAGCAGAUUCGAUACAAGUCUGCCCGAUACCUGAUCAUUAAUGACCAACUCUACAAGCGCGGUUUUACCCUGCCAUACCUAAGAUGCCUUACACCUGCGGAGGCGGAAAUUGUCCUUCGGGAAAUACAUGAAGGAGUCUGCGGAGAUCAUGCUGGGUCUCGAUCCCUAGCACACAAGACUUUUCGCCAAGGAUACUAUUGGCCAACACUCCACCAGGAUGCCAUCAGAAUAUCACGCUCAUGUGAUAAGUGUCAACGCUACGCAACUAUCCCUCACUCCCCUCCCGAGCCGCUCACUCCUAUGAUCAGCCCUUGGCCCUUUGCCCAAUGGGGACUUGAUUUGAUCGGCCCAAUGUCUGCAGGGAAAGGCAAGGUCCGCUAUGCAAUCGUUGCAGUUGACUACUUCACAAAGUGGGCUGAAGUAGAACCCUUGGCAACCAUUACUGAGGGAAAAAUAGAAGACUUCGUAUGGAAGCACAUCCUCUGCAGAUUCGGCAUUCCCAAUGCGAUAGUCACGGACAAUGGGCGGCAGUUCGACAACAAGAAGUUCAAGAUAUUCUGCUCUAAGUUCAACAUCAACUUAUGUUUUGCCUCUCCAGCCCAUCCCCAGUCUAACGGACAAGUCGAGGCUGUUAACAAAAUAAUCAAGCGCACUCUGAAAACUAGCUUGGACAAAGCUAAAGGUUGUUGGCCAGAAUUCGUACCCCAAGUUCUUUGGUCAUAUCGCACUUCAUAUCGGACUUCCACAGGAGAAACUCCAUUCUCACUUGCUUUUGGUACAGAAGCAGUUGUCCCGGUUGAGCUUGAGCAAGCAACAUACCGAAUCCAGAACUACAUACAGAGUGAGAACGACAAGCAACUCACCCUCAACCUGGAUCUAGUCGAGGAACACAGAAAUCAGGCUCACCUGAGGAAUGUCGCCUAUAAGCAGCGCAUCUCCAACUACUACGACUCAAAGGUCAAACCUCGCUCUUUUAAAGUGGGAGACUGGGUACUGAAGAAAAGAUUACUCUGUGAUAGAGUCCCGAGUGAAGGAACACUCAGUCCUAACUGGGACGGACCGUUCGAGGUCGUCGGCAUCAGCCGCCCUGGCUCCUACAAGCUCAGAAGCUCCGACGGCAAGACCCUUGGCCAUCCAUGGAAUGCUGACCACUUGAAGUACUAUUACAAAUAGACUCACAUUGUACAAGUGUUAAGCUACAGCCGUUCGGCAUCCUAUGUAACAAAGACCAUUUGGUAUGAAUUCAAUAAAGAGGUGAUUUAGCCAACUCGACCCUAAACUCUUUUACAUUCUGGGCAAUGAAACACUCAAGUAUUGAAGCUUCAACGCACAUGUUUCCAAUACAGAAUAAAAUCUAAGUAUAUGUCAACAAGACUAUACAAAUGAUCUAUGCAAACAUAGUCAAACAUUCAUCAAUGAUAGGGCAAACACUUGAAGCUUGAUAAUACAAACACUUGCUUGAUAAUGCAAAUACUCAUAAACAUACAAAGCAAAACAAAAAAAAAACCCUCGAGUUUAUAACAUGGCACAUGCCAUACAAACAAUAAACUAGUGCAGGCAGAGUACAUGCAGAAAGUGAAAGCACUUCUAGUCCUCCUCCUCUGAAGUGAACCCCUGAUCAUAUCACUCUGAGACCUACCGCCAUUUUCUGCAUCUCCAACCUCAUCAUCACCCUGAUGACUCUGCUCAUCAGCACUAGCAUCAUCGCCCGACUCAUCUGCACUGCUCGAAUAAACUGCAAGGUCGAAGGUUUCACCUUUUCGAUGAUGCUCAUCUAUUUCUUCACGGUAUUUUCGAAGAACACUUCCAUCAUCAUAACGAUCAAGGACAGCCAUCCACUUUCCUUUUUUCAAAGUGCACUUCCCGGGCACAGCGAGGUCUAAGGACAUGGGAGAAAGGCCUGGGAAACCCAAGAACUCAUUCAACAGCAGCUUCCUUCUCAGCCGGGAUACCACUCUUCAGCUCAGAAACCUCAACCAAGGCACUAUCCAACUCCCCUUUAACCUUGAAAACCUCGAGCAUAGUUGUCUCCAACUGUUUCUUAGUCGCUUCCAACUGUACCUUGAGUCUCAAGUUCUCACCAUUCCGCCUCUUCAAACUCUCAAAAUGUUGAUCCUUGACUUGGAUGGCCUUAGCUAAAGCUUUGCUCGUCUUCCUGGCAUCAUUCACAAGCUGCUUAUUCUCUUUCAAUUUCACCUUGCACCGUUCAGCCUCUCGCAGUCUGUCGUGAUACUCAGCCAUGACCUGCAUGACAAGACGAUCAUCACUACUAAAAUAAUGCUAAUAAAGAGGAGAAAACAAGGGAAUGACAAAGUAACACUCACAUAUGAAGAUAGCUUCAACAUCCGGUCGCAAUCCGAUUCAUCUUUAGCUAAGGGUUCUCCGAGCUCAUCGAAAGUGAAUCGACGCCCUGCCAGGCAAUUGUUGAUAUACCCAAAGUCCUUUGGCCGCAUGGCAACCUUCAAAUCCUUCCAAUGGACACUGCCAACCUCUUCCUUAUCUUUACCCUUGCUGCUAGAACUAGGAUCACCUUCCUGCUCAAUGUGUUCCCUAACUGGAGGAAAGAUGGGAUUAAUAGUAGGAAGAGGAGGCAGCAAUCGCCUAUCUUCCCCGGCAACUAUGGCAGCAGCACAUCCGAUGGCCUCAGCUUCAGCUUUCUUCGAGGCAGCAACCUUGAGGACUUCUUCUCGAGACUUAGUUUUAAUAAUUGGUCUCACUCGGUCCUUGCGCGCUUCCUUGUGAAACAGGAUGUCUUCUGAAGGAACUAACAUGGGCACUCUCCUUUUCUUGGUGCUAGUCUCCACUUUCUUGCCCACCUUCUCCACUGAACAAGGAAAAUCAAAGUAAGGAAUACCACAUUAUAUAUCUAUAAAAAAAAAAAGGGGAAGAACAAGGAUCAAGUGAGGAUACAACUUACUCGCUCGUCUCUAGCACUCGGAAACUAAGGGCUGGAAACCGUACUUUCGAAACAAGGGACGUAGCUUACCCAAGUAUCUAUCUUCUUUAGGCACCCUCAGCACUUUCUCUACAUCAGCUAGCUCCUAUCCAGAGAGUUUGAUGGUGCCUCGUGUCACUGCAUGAAGAAAAAUCUUAGAAGUAAGAGAAAAUCACAACAAUAGCAAAUAAUGAGAAAAUGGAUACAUUACAACCUACAGUCUGGAAGUGAGUAGGAACACGUCGCUCAGGCGUGACACCCUUAGCAUGCUCCCAAUCAUUAUAAAUAAAGCACCAACGUUUCUUCCAUGUGCAGUACGACUUUCUCUUAUUAAAGACAACACGCUCUCUCUCGCUCCGAUAUGCACAUUCAGCAUAACCAGUACAUGCUUUCACCGGGCGCAUCUUAUAACAGUAGCGCCACUGAUGGAAGGAAGGCUCACCUAAUCCACACUCCAUCCAAAUAAUAUAAAACCCAAUCAAGGUAUCCCAGAAACCAGGGUUGAGUUGCCCAGGUGCAUAACCAAUACAAGCCAGCAUUCGUUGCAACCACGGAUGCAAAGGUAAAUUUACCCCCAAGGUCACUAAUGUCUGGGUAUAGAACAUAACAUGACCCUUGGGCGGCUCCGAAGGCAAUUCUUCACAACGCACCAAAUGUAUUCCUACACUACGGGGGAUACUACAUGAUUGCCUUAGGGCCUCAAGCUGUUUUUCGCUAUCUAACAAGUUAUUUUCUAAAUGGUCCGCUGUGAACUCAGAGCGAAAUAUGGGUAUGGCAUCACAAACAACCCCCUCACCCACUCGUAUGGAGGAAGAACCAAUCUCAGCUAAGGUUUGACAAUUGUGAGGAUCAGAACGACAUAUGGGUAUGGCGUCACAAACAACCCCCACACCCACUAACAUGGAGGAAUAACCAAUAUUGGCUAAGGUUUGACAAUUGUGAGGAUCAUCCAACGUUUCUUUUGUACAAGACUCUAACAAAGGCCAUGAAGACCCCGACAUUGCAGGCUCAAACCUAGAGCCCGAGCUAGGGGAGCCCUCAUCACUAAGACUUCCAGACUCCGACAUCUACAACAAACAGAAACAAACUCUAUUACUACAUGAAGGAUCAAAACAUAAGGAAGCUCACAGGGGCAUGAAGAACAGCUCAACCAGUUUCAUUAUGUUCGUCACAAAAAUACAUGAACAUUCCAACAAUUCAACAAAAAGGAAAACAUCCAAUGUAGUGGAGAAGACUACCAACCUGAAGAUGGUGCAGCAAAGCAAUGCUAGAAUCCCUCUCAAGUAAAAAAGCACUUUGUCUUCAACAAUCACUACAAGAUGAGCAAAUGAAGGUAAGGUAAAGAAUGGAAACUUAUCCUUCUUAUAUAUAGUUCAACAUGGCUAUUAACAUUCAAAAUUCAAAUUCAAACCAUGAGAAAACCCCACAUGGAGAAUCUUCAAACUUCUAACAUUAAGGAGUUUCAAAUUUCAAAUGUUUCAGUUCCCCCCUCAAAAAAAAAAAAAAAAAAAAAAAAUCCGAAAAAAAAAAAAGGGAAGGGGGAACACAGCAGCUUCAUCAAUGGGAUUCAACUCCCAAUCUCAAAAGCUUCACACUAUGUUCAUCAAGAUAGUGCGAAGCACAAUCAAUUUAUGGUGCCAACAAAAGCUUCAUCAAUGGAGGACAAAUAUCAAUCUCAAAAGCUUCGCACUAUGUUCAUCAAGAUAGUGCAAAGCAUAAUCAAUUUAUGGUGCCAACAAAAGCUUCAUCAAUGGAGGAUAAAUAUCAAUCUCAAAAAGCUUCGCACUAUGUUCAUCAAGAUAAUGCGAAGCACAAUCAAUUUAUGGUGUCAACACCAAAAGCUUCACCUAUAAAGCUUCACCACCAAAGCUUCACCUAUAAAGCAUCAACCACCAAAGCUUCACUUAUAAAGCUUCAACCCCAAAGCUUCACUUAUAAAGCUUCAACACCAAAGCUUCACCUAUAAAGCUUCACCACCAAAGCUUCACCUAUAAAGCUUCGCCAACCAAAGCUUCACCUAUAAAGCUUCAACACAAAAGCUUCACCUAUAAAGCUUCAACACCAAAGCUUCACUAGUCAAGCUAUCUACCCAAGCACAAAUCUAUAGUCAAUAAACCCUUACCUAUUAAACUAUUUUCCAAACACAAAACCUUGUGGCAAAUAAACAAAUUUUGUUCACACAACCAAGAUUCUCUUGAACUUGUACAACAACACAUGAGUGCACACAAACUUUUUUGUUUUUACAUCCACAAUAUCCCUAUCAUAAACAGACAUACAAUUAUAUACAAUCUAACCCAAGCAACCUUUUUUCUCCCUCUCCCUCUUCCGCCUCUUUCCAUCUAUCAAAUUUCUGCAACUCCUGCUCUUCUUCAGUAGAGCUGAAUUUGGACAUCUUAUAGUUCUUGAGCAGAUGAACAACUUUCACGAAGGAAAUGUUUCCAUUUGAGCGACGGAAGUUAGAGUGAUGAAGCUCCAACAAAACGACGGUCAGAUUUCUGCAAGCUUCAACGCUGCUGCGGUGUUUCGAAGAUCUGGACAUAUCCAACCGUUAGUGUGUUCUGAAUUUUUGAUAUGUUAUGGAAGAGAUGAUGAGGAACAACUUUGUUGAAGAAAGUAUGUUGAUCGGAACACGAAAAAAUGAAGUUUCGAAGCUCACAAUAAGUCUGACGGAUUAACAGAAAAAUGAUGCACAGUUACUCAUCAUACCUGAAUAUCUGGAGUUGUAUUACUCCGAUGAAUCUCAACAUUGGAUAUGUUGUAGUUCACCAGCUAAGGAACAAUUUUGAUGAAGAAAGUAUGUUGAUCUGAACAAGAAAAAAUGAAGUUUCGAAGCUCACAAUAAGUCUGUGGGUUAACAGCAAAAUGAUGAACACUUACUCAACAUACCUGAAUAUCUGGAGUUGUACUACUCCGAUGGCUCUCAAAUUUGGAUAUGUUGUAGUUCACAAGCUAAGGAACAAUUUUCAUGAAGACAACCUUGCGAGUUAAGCUACAGAACAUAGUGUUAUAUUGCAGAGCUACCGCACCCUCUACGUUAACUCCUUCCUUCCCUUCCUUGGCUCCAACACCCACUUUCCUUCAUCAUGCCUUUGGACUCAUUCAGAUUUUUACGAGGACAUGAAGACCUUUCCAGCAAAGAAAGGAAAAGGAAAGUCAAAAGAAUAGCUAAAAGCCACCAAAAGUGACGGACAAAAGGAAUAAGUGCACAAUGCCAUAUUGAACAAAGUCCGGGGAAAUGGGGAAGAAGACACAGGCAAAGGGAUGAGACUUUGAGUCUCAUUGUUAUUAUUUAUCUACCUCCCAAUAUGCAGCAAGAAUACAUUGGGCUUCACAAAAACUAAAUAAAGGGGAGUGGGCACAAACCUGUUCUCCUCUUUGGGCUUGCCACACAAAUAACAAAUGAACAAAGGCACUGGAUCCCUUCUUUUUGUGGGCUUGCAAACAAAUGAGCAGUUUUGGGCUACACAAAAAUUUUGGGCCCUCCCAAAGCUAAACCUAGCUUGAAAUAUUUUGGAUAAGGCAUAUAUGAAGGUGUGACAUCAAAACAAGGCUUCGUUACUUUGACAUAUUAGUAGCAAGCAAGACACCUCAUUCGGCAACUCUCAUCGCCUGAAGACUUGGGGACUCCCACCAUAUGCUACUGCACCUUGAUACUCGGAAGUCUCAUAACCACUCAGUGACUUGGAUUUUUCAAGUCUCCAACCGAGAAGUUUUCCUCACUCAGGAAAUUAAGGGAAUACUACCUCAAACUACAUGCUUCACUCACAAAGCUUCAACAAUACAAGUUUCGACAAAAGAAAAAAUUCAGAGAACUUUCUGAAGAAGGCUUUGGUGUAUUUAACACAAUAUGUUGAAAUGGAGCAAAGCUUAUUUAUUAAUAUUUUCGAUAAAGCCACAAAUAUGUACAUAUACAUGAGUCAAAAUAAACAAACAAAAGGGAGCCUUCACAAAGGUUGCUUAAGGGAAGUCUCAGCAGUCGGUAGAGCCCCAGAAAGAGAAAGCACCGGAGGGUGGUUAUCCGGAGCCUCAGUACUUGACAAAACCCCAGAAGGAGGAGGCAUUGGAGGUUCAUCAUUUGAAGCUUCAUUACCAGGUACAGCCCCAGAAGACGAAGGCAAUAAAUGCCUUUGGAACAAACCCACAAACCGCUGUUGAUCAAGUAAAACCUUACCAUCAGAUUCCUUCAUCUGGUCAAGCUUCCUCUUCAUGUUUUGUAGCAUAGUCAUGGGCGAGCCGGUGCAACUGUUUAUUCUCAUGCUUGAGCCCUCUAAUCUCCUGUUUUGAGACUCAUCACUUCAGCAGCCAAUGAUUCAACUUGGCGGGUUCUAGCAAAUAGGCGUUGGGCCAUAUUAGACACAGAACCUGCACACUGAACACUAAGAGCCAGAGAGUCCUUAACAGCCAACUCAUCAGACCGUUUGGAAAGUAGUCUGUUAUCUUGGGAGUGAGAAGGUUCCUGGCCACCACUGCAGCGGUCAUAUCAUUCUUCAUCACAGAAUCCCAAACGGUAAGAGGACCAGUAGGGAUAUGAAGGAUGGGCGCCAUAUGUUGUCUGGAGAAGGCGUGGCUGUCUCUUCUCCAAGGUUCAAGUCAAAAACGACGGUCGGAGGGUCCAGACAUUUUCAAAUGUGUUGAAGAGGGAAGAGGUCAGACAAAAUCAAGAUCUUAGAAGUGUAAGAAUGGAGCUUCUACUGGUAGAGAUUCAAGUGUGCUGUGGAACUUAAUGCCAGCCUCUAUAAAAAUCUGCACUCGACGGAGCUUCAGAAAUCGAAGAGGCAUUUGCUUUCUCAAAAGCUGGGCUGCUCAGAGACCACGAGGGCCGAUCUCAGAAAUCGAAGAAGCACCUGCUUUUUCAGCCUCGUCAGCACUGUCACAUGCACACUCAGCUUGCGAAAAUUACGGGGCAAUCUGUCGAAGAUUUCUGGUGAAGUAGAAAGCACGUGAAUCUUACUGUUCAAUCACCGCUCUCCACAUGCACCAUCAACUCCUCGGGUACCACAUAUAACUUUGUCAAAGAUCUCUGACAAAGUUUAGGCACGAGAAUUUCGAAGUUCCAGUUACCCUACUAUUACCACAAGGGUAAAAGGAACAGCACCCACUGCUUGACAACUGGAAAGUCCAUAUGUGUGUCGACCUCCGUGUUUUUGCAGCAAGACAGGUUGGCAAGAACGUCCAACCUUUACUCACAUUCGAGAAAAGACUCCCAACAUAAUUACUUUCUCAAAAACUGAAGUAGCACCGCUUUCCGAAUCUCGAAAGUCAGAUCCUCGACGGGAUUGCUUGUUCGAAAACCGAAGAGGCACAACUCUCAGAACUUCGAGAGCUAGAUUUCCUUAGAUAAAGCUUGUCUGUAAUCUUUCACACGUAACAUCAGCUUUCCAGAUACCACAUACCACUUUUUCAAAGUGCUCUGACAAAGUUAAAAACACGUGAAGCUGGCAGCUCCCACUACAUUGCUAUUACCCCACAAGGGUAAAGGAAUUAGCACUACUACUUGUUAUGGGAAAUCCCUAUAUACAUCGACCUCCCUCCUCAACGGACAGGCAAACCUGCAAAAAUGCUCAACCCUUUCUCACAUUCGAGAAGGCACCCUCAACAUAACCUCUCGAAAUACUCAGCUUUAUUUCCCCCCGAUAAUACCUCAGCAAAUAAGCCCACACCAAGAACAAGAGUAUCUCAUAUCAUCAGGGUCGAAAGCAAGAGUAUCCCAUAAUCAUGCUUUCUCCCUGUCUUUGUCUUUUCCUUGUCCACACCUCAGGACAAGGAGAAGAGGGCAGUCAUCGGAACCUGAAAUCAAACUCCAAUCUGGAACUGACUGCCUGAGACCUUGCCUGGUUGCUACUCAACAUUGCUCUCGUACUCAUCUCAACUGCUGCAAGGUCACAAAUNNNNNNNNNNNNNNNNNNNNNNNNNNNNNNNNNNNNNNNNNNNNNNNNNNNNNNNNNNNNNNNNNNNNNNNNNNNNNNNNNNNNNNNNNNNNNNNNNNNNNNNNNNNNNNNNNNNNNNNNNNNNNNNNNNNNNNNNNNNNNNNNNNNNNNNNNNNNNNNNNNNNNNNNNNNNNNNNNNNNNNNNNNNNNNNNNNNNNNNNNNNNNNNNNNNNNNNNNNNNNNNNNNNNNNNNNNNNNNNNNNNNNNNNNNNNNNNNNNNNNNNNNNNNNNNNNNNNNNNNNNNNNNNNNNNNNNNNNNNNNNNNNNNNNNNNNNNNNNNNNNNNNNNNNNNNNNNNNNNNNNNNNNNNNNNNNNNNNNNNNNNNNNNNNNNNNNNNNNNNNNNNNNNNNNNNNNNNNNNNNNNNNNNNNNNNNNNNNNNNNNNNNNNNNNNNNNNNNNNNNNNNNNNNNNNNNNNNNNNNNNNNNNNNNNNNNNNNNNNNNNNNNNNNNNNNNNNNNNNNAAGACCCCGACAUUGCAGGCUCAAACUAGAGCCCGAGCUAGGGGAGCCUCAUCACUAAGACUUCAGACUCGACAUCUACAACAAACAGAAACAAACUCUAUUACUACAUGAAGGAUCAAAACAUAAGGAAGCUCACAGGGCAUGAAGAACAGCUCAACCAGUUCAUUAUGUUCGUCACAAAAUACAUGAACAUUCCAACAAUUCAACAAAAAGGAAAACAUCCAAUGUAGUGGAGAAGACUACCAACCUGAAGAUGGUGCAGCAAAGCAAUGCUAGAAUCCCUCUCAAGUAAAAAGCACUUUGUCUUCAACAAUCACUACAAGAUGAGCAAAUGAAGGUAAGGUAAAGAAUGGAAACUUAUCCUUCUUAUAUAUAGUUCAACAUGGCUAUUAACAUUCAAAAAUUUCAAAUUCAAACCAUGAGAAAACCCCACAUGGAGAAUCUUCAAACUUCUAACAUUAAGGAGUUUCAAAUUUCAAAUGUUUCAGUUCCCCCCUCAAAAAAAAAAAAAAAAAAAAAUCCGAAAAAAAAAAAAGGGAAGGGGGAACACAGCAGCUUCAUCAAUGGGAUUCAACUCCCAAUCUCAAAAGCUUCACACUAUGUUCAUCAAGAUAGUGCGAAGCACAAUCAAUUUAUGGUGCCAACAAAAGCUUCAUCAAUGGAGGACAAAUAUCAAUCUCAAAAGCUUCGCACUAUGUUCAUCAAGAUAGUGCAAAGCAUAAUCAAUUUAUGGUGCCAACAAAAGCUUCAUCAAUGGAGGAUAAAUAUCAAUCUCAAAAGCUUCGCACUAUGUUCAUCAAGAUAAUGCGAAGCACAAUCAAUUUAUGGUGUCAACACCAAAGCUUCACCUAUAAAGCUUCACCACCAAAGCUUCACCUAUAAAGCAUCACCACCAAAGCUUCACUUAUAAAGCUUCAACCCCAAAGCUUCACUUAUAAAGCUUCAACACCAAAGCUUCACCUAUAAAGCUUCACCACCAAAGCUUCACCUAUAAAGCUUCGCCAACCAAAGCUUCACCUAUAAAGCUUCAACACAAAAGCUUCACCUAUAAAGCUUCAACACCAAAGCUUCACUAGUCAAGCUAUCUACCCAAGCACAAAUCUAUAGUCAAUAAACCUUACCUAUUAAACUAUUUUCCAAACACAAAACCUUGUGGCAAAUAAACAAAUUUUGUUCACACAACCAAGAUUCUCUUGAACUUGUACAACAACACAUGAGUGCACACAAACUUUUUUGUUUUACAUCCACAAUAUCCCUAUCAUAAACAGACAUACAAUUAUAUACAAUCUAACCCAAGCAACCUUUUUUUCUCCCUCUCCCUCUUCCGCCUCUUUCCAUCUAUCAAAUUUCUGCAACUCCUGCUCUUCUUCAGUAGAGCUGAAUUUUGGACAUCUUAUAGUUCUUGAGCAGAUGAACAACUUUCACGAAGGAAAUGUUUCCAUUUGAGCGACGGAAGUUAGAGUGAUGAAGCUCCAACAAAACGACGGUCAGAUUUCUGCAAGCUUCAACGCUGCUGCGGUGUUUCGAAGAUCUGGACAUAUCCAACCGUUAGUGUGUUCUGAAUUUUUGAUAUGUUAUGGAAGAGAUGAUGAGGAACAACUUUGUUGAAGAAAGUAUGUUGAUCGGAACACGAAAAAAUGAAGUUUCGAAGCUCACAAUAAGUCUGACGGAUUAACAGAAAAAUGAUGCACAGUUACUCAUCAUACCUGAAUAUCUGGAGUUGUAUUACUCCGAUGAAUCUCAACAUUGGAUAUGUUGUAGUUCACCAGCUAAGGAACAAUUUUGAUGAAGAAAGUAUGUUGAUCUGAACAAGAAAAAAUGAAGUUUCGAAGCUCACAAUAAGUCUGUGGGUUAACAGCAAAAUGAUGAACACUUACUCAACAUACCUGAAUAUCUGGAGUUGUACUACUCCGAUGGCUCUCAAAUUUGGAUAUGUUGUAGUUCACAAGCUAAGGAACAAUUUUCAUGAAGACAACCUUGCGAGUUAAGCUACAGAACAUAGUGUUAUAUUGCAGAGCUACCGCACCCUCUACGUUAACUCCUUCCUUCCCUUCCUUGGCUCCAACACCCACUUUCCUUCAUCAUGCCUUUGGACUCAUUCAGAUUUUUACGAGGACAUGAAGACCUUUCCAGCAAAGAAAGGAAAAGGAAAGUCAAAAGAAUAGCUAAAAGCCACCAAAAGUGACGGACAAAAGGAAUAAGUGCACAAUGCCAUAUUGAACAAAGUCCGGGGAAAUGGGGAAGAAGACACAGGCAAAGGGAUGAGACUUGAGUCUCAUUGUUAUUAUUUAUCUACCUCCCAAUAUGCAGCAAGAAUACAUUGGGCUUCACAAAAACUAAAUAAAGGGGAGUGGCACAAACCUGUUCUCCUCUUUGGGCUUGCCACACAAAUAACAAAUGAACAAAGGCACUGGAUCCCUUCUUUUUUGUGGGCUUGCAAACAAAUGAGCAGUUUUUGGGCUACACAAAAAUUUUGGGCCCUCCCAAAGCUAAACCUAGCUUGAAAUAUUUUUGGAUAAGGCAUAUAUGAAGGUGUGACAUCAAAACAAGGCUUCGUUACUUUGACAUAUUAGUAGCAAGCAAGACACCUCAUUCGGCAACUCUCAUCGCCUGAAGACUUGGGGGACUCCCACCAUAUGCUACUGCACCUUGAUACUCGGAAGUCUCAUAACCACUCAGUGACUUGGAUUUUUCAAGUCUCCAACCGAGAAGUUUUCCUCACUCAGGAAAUUAAGGGAAUACUACCUCAAACUACAUGCUUCACUCACAAAGCUUCAACAAUACAAGUUUCGACAAAAGAAAAAAUUCAGAGAAAACUUUCUGAAGAAGGCUUUGGUGUAUUUAACACAAUAUGUUGAAAUGGAGGCAAAGCUUAUUUAUUAAUAUUUUCGAUAAAGCCACAAAUAUGUACAUAUACAUGAGUCAAAAUAAACAAACAAAAGGGAGCCUUCACAAAGGUUGCUUAAGGGAAGUCUCAGCAGUCGGUAGAGCCCCAGAAAGAGAAAGCACCGGAGGGUGGUUAUCCGGAGCCUCAGUACUUGACAAAACCCCAGAAGGAGGAGGCAUUGGAGGUUCAUCAUUUGAAGCUUCAUUACCAGGUACAGCCCCAGAAGACGAAGGCAAUAAAUGCCUUUGGAACAAACCCACAAACCGCUGUUGAUCAAGUAAAACCUUACCAUCAGAUUCCUUCAUCUGGUCAAGCUUCCUCUUCAUGUUUGUAGCAUAGUCAUGGGCGAGCCGGUGCAACUGUUUAUUCUCAUGCUUGAGCCCUCUAAUCUCCUGUUUGAGACUCAUCACUUCAGCAGCCAAUGAUUCAACUUGGCGGGUUUCUAGCAAAUAGGCGUUGGGCCAUAUUAGACACAGAACCUGCACACUGAACACUAAGAGCCAGAGAGUCCUUAACAGCCAACUCAUCAGACCGUUUGGAAAGUAGUCUGUUAUCUUGGGGAGUGAGAAGGUUCCUGGCCACCACUGCAGCGGUCAUAUCAUUCUUCAUCACAGAAUCCCAAACGGUAAGAGGACCAGUAGGGGAUAUGAAGGAUGGGCGCCAUAUGUUGUCUGGAGAAGGCGUGGCUGUCUCUUCUCCAAGGUUCAAGUCAAAACGACGGUCGGAGGGUCCAGACAUUUUCAAAUGUGUUGAAGAGGGAAGAGGUCAGACAAAUCAAGAUCUUAGAAGUGUAAGAAUGGAGCUUCUACUGGUAGAGAUUCAAGUGUGCUGUGGAACUUAAUGCCAGCCUCUAUAAAAAUCUGCACUCGACGGAGCUUCAGAAAUCGAAGAGGCAUUUGCUUUCUCAAAAGCUGGGCUGCUCAGAGACCACGAGGGCCGAUCUCAGAAAUCGAAGAAGCACCUGCUUUUUCAGCCUCGUCAGCACCUGUCACAUGCACACACUCAGCUUUGCGAAAAUUACGGGCAAUCUGUCGAAGAUUUCUGGUGAAGUAGAAAGCACGUGAAUCUUACUGUUCAAUCACCGCUCUCCACAUGCACCAUCAACUCCUCGGGUACCACAUAUAACUUUGUCAAAGAUCUCUGACAAAGUUUAGGCACGAGAAUUUCGAAGUUCCAGUUACCCUACUAUUACCCACAAGGGUAAAGGAACAGCACCACUGCUUGACAACUGGAAAGUCCAUAUGUGUGUCGACCUCCGUGUUUUGCAGCAAGACAGGUUGGCAAGAACGUCCAACCUUUACUCACAUUCGAGAAAAGACUCCCAACAUAAUUACUUUCUCAAAAACUGAAGUAGCACCGCUUUCCGAAUCUCGAAAGUCAGAUCCUCGACGGGAUUGCUUGUUCGAAAACCGAAGAGGCACAACUCUCAGAACUUCGAGAGCUAGAUUUCCUUAGAUAAAGCUUGUCUGUAAUCUUCACACGUAACAUCAGCUUUCCAGAUACCACAUACCACUUUUUCAAAGUGCUCUGACAAAGUUAAAACACGUGAAGCUGGCAGCUCCCACUACAUUGCUAUUACCCACAAGGGUAAAGGAAUAGCACUACUACUUGUUAUUGGGAAAUCCCUAUAUACAUCGACCUCCCUCCUCAACGGACAGGCAAACCUGCAAAAAUGCUCAACCCUUUCUCACAUUCGAGAAGGCACCCUCAACAUAACCUCUCGAAAUACUCAGCUUUAUUUCCCCCCGAUAAUACCUCAGCAAAUAAGCCACACCAAGAACAAGAGUAUCUCAUAUCAUCAGGGUCGAAAGCAAGAGUAUCCCAUAUCAUGCUUUCUCCCUGUCUUUGUCUUUGUCCUUGUCCACACCUGCAGGACAAGGAGAAAGAGAGCAGUCAGUCGGAACCUGAAAUCAAACCUCCAAUCUGGAACUGACUGCCUGAGACCUUUGCCUGGUUGCUUACUCAACAUUGCUCUCGAGUACUCAUCCUCAACUGCUGUCAAGGUCACAAAUUCCACCAACAAAUACCUCAUGACAGUUGAUCAGAUAUUGGCUCUUUACACUGAAGCUGCCAAGCGUGGAUGAGUCAUUAGGAAGGAAUGUUCUGAAGGACCAUUUAAAUGCAAAUGGUACACACCACUUCUGCCAUGCAAAAGAUUGAAGCAGAAGGUUCAACGGUGAGCUGAAACAGAUCACUACAACACGACACAUUUCCAUACCACAUUCAUUAUUCCGUCAACAGCAAAAGUAUCCCAUAUCAUCAAGGUCGAACGUACUCUAGAUUUGAUGGACUUGUUUUGACCCUCAAAUUCUUGAGUCGGCCUUAUACUCUGAAGGGAACCAGAAAACCCUCCAGUACAGUUCAAGAAUAAGCAUGUGGAAAGUUACUUCUUCAAAAGCAAAAGUAUCUCAUAUCAUCUCUUCUCCAUUUGCUUCUCCUUAUCCUGGCAGCUGAAUGAGAGACAAAGAGAAGGAGAACAAUCAACCGGAAGCCGAAGUCGAACCUCCGAUCCUGGGUUGCUUGCUUGGAAGUUUGACUGCUUACCUUGUCUGUCACCUCUUUCGGCAGAUCUCCUAGCUCGGCGACUUGGGGGACUCCUACUAUAUAGGGUUUGUAUUGCACUUGACCAAGCCCGAAACUACAAGUAAGCUUCAAGUGAAAUUGAUACAUUACCUUGUGCAUUUUCAUCGGUUAAAGAUACCACCCAUGGAUGGAGGAAAAGUACUUCCAGAGAAGAUGCCACAUCUACAUAUGAGACAGAUAAGGCACGUGAAAAUGAUACCACACUUCAGUACUUAGAAGUUUCGUGAUUACUCAAUGGCUUGGAUCUUGCAAGUCCCCAACCGAGGAGCUUCCCUCACUCGGGAACUUAGGGGAGCACUGUUUGUACCAUACUUGACCAAUCCCGAAACUACUGAGCACCGGUCAACGUUAUACCGUCAAGGACCUAGAAGAGCUUCCCUUCAACCAGGAGGCCAAUCACAAAGCGACACGUGUUGUCAUCAGAAGCCAAUCACAACACGACACGUGUCGAUGUUAGAACAAAACUAGAAACUCUCCUCUAUAAAUAGGGAUCAUUCUCCCACAAUAAUCUCGAAUGUCAUUUUUGUACUAAACUAUUCACUAGACUCACUAAACCAGAGCUUGAACCUAUGUAUUUGUGUAAACCCUUCACAAUUAAUGAGAACUCCUCUACUCCGUGGACGUAGCCAAUCUGGGUGAACCACGUACAUCCUGUGUUUGCUUCCCUGUCCUUAUUCAUUUAUGUACUUAUCUUCACUAGUGACCGAAGCAACCAAGCGAAGGUCACAAACCUGACACUUUCUGUUGUACCAAAGUCCUCGCUGAUUUUGUGCAUCAACACACUCCUUUUUGAAAACUCACGGCAACCUCUACCCGUUUCUUUCUCCCACGUUGGUUUCAUAUAUAUCUAUAUAUAAAUAUAAAAUUUUGUGAGAUAUUAAAUUCUUUUUAUCUCAUUUUUAAAUUUCUUAGAUAUUUUUUAGAUAUAAUUUUGGUAGAUUAAUAUUUUCUCAGAAAAUCGAAGAGGAGUGGAGUUGGUCACGUCUUUUUUUUUUUUCAUUUUUCAAUAAAACGAAUUAUAAAUUUUUGUUUUUUUAACAAUAUUUCUAUGAGAUAUUAGUCCCUCUCUCUCUCUCCGAAAUUGGAGGAGGAGGGGAGUUGGUCACGUCUUUUCUUUUUUCUUUUUUUCAUUUUUUCAAUAAAAAACAAUUUUAAGUUUCUGUUUUUUCUUACAAUACUAUGAUUGCGUUUUAUUUUGUAUUUUCUUAUUUUUAUUUCUGUGAGAUAUUAAACACUCUCGCUCUCCUAAAAUGGAGGAGGAGUGGUGUUGGUUGGUUGGGUUAAAUUCUUUUUAUCUCAUUUUUUUUAUAAGAAAAUAAAUCAGGGAUUUCAGCACAUCCCCUUUUUAUCUCUUUUUUUUCCUAAUAAAACGAAUUAUAAUUUUUUUCUUUCUAACAAAAUUACCCUUCGGUUUUUAUAUUUAUUUUUUCUGUCUGUUUUUAAAAAAAAAAUUUGUUUGAGGGGCUUUAUAGUCUAAUUAUUUUUGGUGAAGCCUCAAGACACUAAACUUUCCUUCUGACUCUCUAAUAUUAAAGAUUAAAGAUAUUGUUUCUACAUAAUAAAUGUUGUCUCUCUUUUCUAGUCACUUAUUGAAAUUAAUUAAAAACGGAAUCAUUUAUGCCUGGUUUGAUAAUUAUUUUGGAUUUAGUUUUCAGAUUUUAUUUUUUGUACUUGAGAUAUGAGAAAUGAAAGGUAAAGUGACAGAGAAAAGAAGAAAUAAGAAAUACUUCGUCCCUUGUAUUUUUUCUUUAUCAUUAAACAACAUAAGUAAAACUAAAAUAACAAAACGAAUUGUAGAUAUGAAUUGAAGUCUUAGUUUUGCAAAACUAACUGUAUGUUCAAACAUGGAAGAGAAGAGUAGCUAAGCGAUUAUAAAUUUAUAAUACUUGAUCAGGUGAAGCAUGGAAGAGUAGCUCCAAUAUAUUUAUUAAUUUAUCCUUACAUGCAUGGUUCCCUUCGCUGUGUCUUCAAUUCAUAAAUAUCAUCUAUUUGUACUAUCUCUUUAAUAAAAAUAGGAUCCACCAAUAUAUAUGGAUUCCAUCUCUAUUAAUAAAACGAUACAAAUAAAUGAUGAAAAUAACAUUUUUGCAGCAAAUAUUACUCCAAAGUUUCCCCAAGUCAAAGUAAAAAAUCCAAAAACCCAAAGAAAUAACCACAAGAUAUACCGGUGGAAAAUUUAGUACAAAUACAAAGCAGAUAGAUAAAUAGUUAUUGAAACUUCAACUUCAAGCCGUUAAACCCACGCUGUGAAGCACGACGGUCUCCACCGUGAGGCCGGGCCCAAAUCCGAAAAGCACACCCCACUCCAGUCCCUCCCCGGUCGUUUUGAGUCCUUUCUCGGCGGACUUCCUCCUGACCUCGUCCAAAAUAAAAAGCACACAAGCACUCGACAUGUUACCGUAAUCCGACAACACUUGCCUUGUUGCUUCUAGUUUCUCCGGCUUCAAUGCCAACUUGGCCUCUACUUGGUCCAGAAUAGCAGGGCCACCUGGGUGUGCAAUCCAGAAGAGUGAGUUCCAGUCCGAAAUCCCAAUAGGCUUGAAAGCCUCAUUAAGGCUCUUUUCGAUGUUCUUCGAAAUAAGCCCGGGAACAUCCUUGAGAAGGUGAAAUGUAAGCCCUACUUCACGGAGAUGUCCGUCGAUAGCCCCAUCACUGUCGGGGAGAAUGGUUUGUGCCGCCGACACCAAUUCAAACAAGGGCUUCUCGACUUCGGGCACUGGAUCCGCACCAAUGAUUACGGCCGCUGCACCGUCGCCAAACAAAGCUUGGCCCACAAGACUAUCAAGGUGGGUGUCACUAGGCCCACGGAAGGUAACCGCGGUGAUCUCAGAGCACACAACAAGAACACGUGCACCCUUGUUGUUUUCGGCCAAGUCCUUGGCCAAACGGAGGACCGUCCCACCGGCGAAGCACCCUUGCUGGUACAUCAUGAGGCGCUUGACGGAGGGGCGGAGGCCCAAGAGCUUGGUGAGUUGGUAGUCGGCGCCAGGCAUGUCGACACCGCUGGUGGUGCAAAAGACCAAGUGGGUGAUUUUGGACUUGGGCUGUCCCCAUUCCUUGAUGGCUUUGGUGGCAGCCUCUUUGCCAAGUUUUGGGACUUCCACAACCACCAUGUCCUGCCUUGCAUCAAUUGAAGGAGCCAUGUACUCGCACACACUUGGGUUCUCUUUUAAAAUUUCUUCAGUCAAGUACAUAUAACGUUUCUUGAUCAUAGAUUUGUCGCCUGAAAAUAUUUGCAUGUAUAUACAAAAUUAAUUAUGCAACAAAUUAUAGAUCCACAGCUGAUGAACUAUAAACAAAUUGCUAUAUAUAUAUAUAUAUAUAUAUUUAUUAAAGAAGCCAAAACGCAAGAUUAGUAAAAUAAGAAAAACGGAGAAGUUAAGGAGUACAUACACAUGCGCUGGAAUUUUUCUUUGAGCUCAACCUUGUGCUCGCUGUUGGUGAUACGAAAGUAGUAGUCGGGGUAGGUAGCCUGAUCCACACAGUUGGAAGGAGUUGCUGUCCCGAUGGCCAUGACUGUGGCUGGACCCUCCGCCCGUUGAGCCUUGCGAACUUCCUCGACUGUAACCAUUUUUUCUGUAUAUCCGAUCGUCGAGAAAGAUCAAAGAGGCUAGUUACAGUUGCAAUGGUAAGGUAGAAGUUGAGGGUGUGACACAAUGUUAAGAGAAGCGGUUGUAUUUAUAUGAAAAUGGUGAAAGCGGGUAGCUGGGCAUCACGUGCCUGACGAAUUGUGUUGUUAGAAUAGAAAGCCUCACCCUCAACCCACCUACGAGAUACAACUGCGAGCGACCAGUGAGGCUCGGCUGCUUCGAGUACUAUAUUUGUAUUAGUAUAACGGCGCAGGUGGUAGGUACAGGAUCGCAGUUCCUGUGUUCAACUACCAGGGCUGCAGAGAUAUUUUGGUCAAUAAAUGGGUUUUUUUAGCUAAAAUAAUCCCUGAGAUUUGUAUAACUUCUCAUUUUAGUCCCUGAGAUUUAAAAUCAAUAGAAUUGAUUCCUGAAUUUGUCGACAAUCAAUCAUUUUAGUCCUUAGGUGAAAAAUUAUGUUAAAUAAGUAUCAAACUGACUUCAAUUUAAUAAACAAUAUGCCAAAAUGAUUAGACAAAAAUUGAGGAUAUUUUUGUCAUUUUACCCUUAUUUUAUGGAGAUUUUUCAUAGAAUGACCAAAAUGAUUGAUUGUGGACAAACUCAGGGACCAAUUCUAUUGAUUUCAAAUAUCAAGGACCAAAGUGAGGAGUUAUGCAAAUCUUAAGGAUCAUUUUGACUAAAAAGGCCAAUAAAUGUUAGCAAAAUUUGAUUUUGUUGCAUGUGUUACAAUAUUUUAAUGGAUAAAACAUUAGGUUUCUACUCAUGCAUCAUGGAUUUAAGAACUCUUAACUCCCCAAAAUUAUUCCCGUAAUAGUUUGGGGGUUUUUUUUUUUUUUUUUUGGUUGGUUAAAGAAAUAAAUGUUAGCAAGAUUAAUAUCUCAAAAGGUACAAGAGUCAAAAACAUGCCACGCACCAAAGUCGAACACCUAUAACACAAAGAAAGUCCGCCAUUUUUUAAAAAAUCACAAUUAGGACAUAAAUUCAUGUCUAUAGGCUAGGGAUGGGCAAAAGCCGGUAUGAUUCGGCAUUAACCUCAAGUUGCACAUCAUGUCAAACCAACGUAACAUUUUUUUUUUUUUUAACGCAACAAACGUAACAAUGUAACAUAAUUGAGCCAAUUUAACUCGUUUACAAAUUUGUUUUGGUCAUUUUCUUGAUGAGCAAUUAAACAAAUAUUCCAAAAAUCUCUUACAUGUAUGAGAGGAAACUUCAUUCUGUACAAUUGAAGAUUUGUUGAGGAAAUUUUGAAAGAUGACAUAAUUCAAAUAAUGGUUUAGGAUUUUAGCUUUGAUUUUUUUUUUUAAUAAAACGAUAUAUAUAUUUACAUUGAAGUGUAGAAGAAUUUAAACUAAGUUACUUAUUGGGCUAGCCAAAUAAGUUGAUUUGAACUUGCCUUCGACGAGAGUUGAGGUGGAGCAAGUGUAUUUGAACUUGCCAAAUAAGUUGGUUUGAACUUACAAGUAAAGAAGAUUUUAGUUUUGAUAUUAAAUAGUUGAUAGCAAUGUGUGUAGUGGUGGAGCAAGAAUUGUAAGGUUCGUUGGGGCCGAAAUUUAAAUUAUUUCUUUAGGUUUUUUAUUUUUUUAUUUUUUAUAAAUUAUUUUUUAAGGUUAAGAGCAAUAUAAUCCUUUGUAAUUAGGAAUAUAUCACAAUCAAUUUUGGUUUGGGUCAAUAAGCUUUAUUUAUUUAUUAGCUUUAGGUCAAUUAGGCAAACGCAUAAUUUUUACAUGUGGUUCAAUAUCCUAGUAUAUAGAGUAUUAGGUUUCUACUCAUGCGUUCUGGGUUCAAAACUUUCUCUCUCCUAAAUUAUCGUAAUAAUUUCGAACUCUCCUCCUCCCCUAAUAAUAGUAUAUUAAAAAUAAAGGCAAACCCAUGAAUUGAUUUCCAUACCCUUGUAAUUGAGUAAGAAACUUACACUUGUAGAUUUAUAGCUUGUUUACGCAACUGUACUCGGAAUCAACAUAUGAAAUUGAAUUCCAAUUAUAAGAUACAAUAGUGUUCACCAAAUUUAGGGAAUCAAAAGGUUGGUGGGGCCCACACGAAUGUUGGAAGCCAACUCCAAAAUGUGGAGGAUUUGAACACCUUACAUUUAGGUGGUAAUCAUGAUUCCAGGAGAAUCCACUUUUUUGUACAUAUUAUACCUUCACAUAACCCAACAACAAUCUGCACGUUCUUUCUUCUCUGUGCUCUUCACACAACUACCAUCUCCACCACUAGCAACCCCCGCUUUCCGCUGUACCUUCCCCCACCACCUGCUAUUAACCCCCGUCGUACCUUCCCCCACACCAACAACCUUCACUUCCCAUGCAAUUAGUUGUACAAGAAAGUAAUGCAGAGAGAGAAAGGACCCUAUUCUAUGGCUUCCAAUCAAAGAAAUAAUUUGAGAUCUCGAGAGAGAGUGUUACAGUGGGAUAUGUAGGUUAUUUUCUAGUUGUAUUCUUCUUUACUUGUAAGUGAAGGAUUUUAGUUUGAUUCUCGCUAAACGCGAAUUUGAACCAUAUUAUUACUAGCUUAUUGUGAGGUUUAGCUCACUCCCCUCACCCAUUGAUAUAGCUAAUAUCGUUUGCUAAAAAAAUUAUAAACUAAUUUAUUACAAUAGUGACAGUUUAACUCUUCACUUUAACAAACAAAUAAAAAUAACUAUUUAAAUUGUUAUUAAAAAUAAAUAUAGGAAUGAAAUAAAACAAAAACAAUGAGAUUUUAGUAAUCAUAUUAAUUUCUAUUUCGAUUCAGGUGAAUUAGUAAACAAUCCACAUGAACUCAACUUUAUUCUCAUUCGGAUUCCAAAACAUUUAAAUAAACAAUUUCAACAUGAAUCCGAUUCGGACCUCUUGUUAUUCCAACUCCUUCUAUUGUGAUUACGGUUACGUAAAUAAGUCAUUAAUGAUCUAAAAGACUAAAAAUUCUAAGUUGCGUGUCAUUGAAGCUCAAAAUUUACAUUGCAUUGCAGCUUUCGUUCUACGAAUUCAAAUUCAGUAUUUGUAAUUUCUAUUUCAUAAUAUCUAAAUUAGUUACAACUUACAAUUAAUAUUGGUUUGAUUAAUAAAUAGGGAAACUAAUGAAAAUAAAUUUAAUACUUUCAAUUUUAAUAAAAAAUUAAGUAAUAAUUUUAUUUAAUAAUUAGGACAAAACUCAAUAUCAAACCAGUUCAAUAAAACUGACCCAAACAAAUAAUUUAUCAAGCUUCCAGUUUUACCCCUAACGUCUCUUGUCCCGUUUAUGUGCACCUGGGUAAAUGAGUUGGUGACGAACUUGUGCCGCCCAACCGGCAAGAUUCUAUACGGGGUAACUUAUCGAACAUUGCCAACCCUCAUCUAAUCGCAAUCUUUUACAUCACUAAAAUGCUUUGUGGGAAACCACCGGUCCCACCUCAUGGCAGACUGUCUCUGCAUGCCUCAAUUUACGACUUGAAGGGAUAUGCAGACCCACUGAACAUCAUUUGAUGGGCAUAUUACAAUUAUAUAUAUGGAAAUCAUUUUCUUGAUAAUCUUCUAAUCAAGAUCGUUUAUCGUACAUUGUAUAGUUAUAAAUUAUUUUAAAUUUUAAAAUAAAUAUAAAUAGUACCUAAUAAAAACUGACCCUACGAUGUACGCUGAACAGUUAUGAUUACGAGAUCCCAGAACCCAAAAAAAAAGAUCCAGCAAGGAUGCUCCUAUAUAUAUAUAUAUAUGCCCAUUGCUAAGUGAUUUAUGUCGAGAUUCACCUGGGUAGGUUUAGGGUACAAAAAUCAUUUUAUCAUCUAUAUUUGUCCCUUUUUGUGCGGUAGCCAUGUUUUUACCAUUAGUAAAAAAAAAGUAUAAAUGAGAAAAAAGACGUAAUAGUUUUUAAUUUUCCCAUCCCAAGUUUUCUAUGGAUACACGCAUAGUGGUGGUUGUUAAAUAUCUGAAUAAUAUUGUGUCAAACGCUAAUGAUUUUAUGGAAGACCGUGGGGCUAAUUUGCACUUUCAGAAGUUUUUAUGUACAUGCGGCUUAGCAAACUUCCAAUAUUGGAGAAAACAAUACAGAAAGAAAAUAUCUUCUCGGAAACCUAUUUGAGAAAGAAAAAGAAAUGUCUUCUCGGAAACCCUUAGGCCUCGUUUGUUUGACCUUCUUAGCUAUGACUGGACUAGCUAGGACUAAUAACCCAUGUUUGGUAUAUCAAGGGACUAAGUUAAAUGGGAUUAGUUCGAACUCGUGCCGACUAAGUCCUUUGCUCGCUGAUCUUAGCUAAACCCCUCGAAAACUACGGGAUUGCUAAUCUCGUCUCCACCACUACCAACAUCCCGCGAACCCAGUCAUCAAAAUCUAGCCUUUUUGCCAAUCUCCGUCAUCCAGCAAACCCAGCAAACCCAACCCCCUAUUUGCUUCCCGACGAACCCACAACCCAAAUUUCCCAACGAACAGACAAAAGAACGCUUAACACUUAAUCGAUAUGCAGAAAUGGGUUCUCCAUUUUCGUCGAUUGAACUGGAAUUAGACCCAUAAAACAGAGAUAACGGUCUUCGCCUAAAGAACUUUGGAUCCGAAAACGAUCUUCACAAUUUGAGAUCCCUCUGCCACACCGCAGCUCCUACUCCAAGCACUUCCUUGGAGGCGAAAUGAAAUGAAUACAAGGGGAGAGAGGGGAGAGGGGAUAGUGGUACAUAUGUGAAACAGAAGAAAAAGGAAGGGGGAAGGAGGAGACAGAGGGCAGAGUAAAAAAUGGAAAAUUAUAAAGAGAGAGGCAUAGAUAUCAGAGAAGAAGAUAAGUCUAGAACAAAUGGAAAAUGAAAAAGAAAUAAUAAAAUAUUAAUUAAUAUAGAUUAAAUUUUAAAAAAAUAUAUUAAUAAAUAUAUAUUAAAUAAUAUAAUAUUAUAGUCAUGCUUCUUAGUCCGACACUGCACCAAACGCUUCACUUAGUUAGUCCAGCUUAGUCUAGUAUAAGCCAGUCCAGUUUAGUCCCUGAAGUUAGUCCAGUCUAAGACAGUCUGAUGCAACAAAUGCACCCUAAAGGUUGGCAGAGAGGAAGAUUUGAAUGGUGGAAUGUGCAUUAGAAUACUUUGAGCUGACUCCAAUAACAUUCCACCGCUUUAAAGUUUUAUUAGGUUUUAAAACUAAAUCUUCCGUUAGGGCGAUGGAAAAUUUAAUAGUUUAAGAAAGUUAUAAAGGGCGGUGGAACUUAAGGUAUGCUAUAUGCUAUAUAUAUGAUUCCGUGGAUGCAAUUUCAAUGGUUACGAGACAGGAGAUGUGUAUGUUUGUGUAUGUGCUGCUGGCAGCUCCUCAUACCGCACAGAUGCAGCUGAAGGCCUCCAUUAUUCCACGUCAGUCAGUGGUUCAAUAGUUAAGAGGAUGAGAUGGAUGGACCUCGUCAAUACAACAUGCAGGGAGGAUGUUUGGCCUGUGUUUGGAGAGGCAUGUAUAUGUCCAAUUUUCCUCCCACUCCUCCUCCACCUACUCGCCGCAACUGGGGUCCACUCCAACCCCCAGUCCAAACCCUAAACCUCCAAAUUCGGACCCUCCAUUCCACCCCGUCCAAAUCCAAGCCCCUCCUCCUCCUCUAUUCCACCCCAUUUAGAGAUGGGCAACGGUUAUGGAAGGCGGGUAGCCGCGGUUAUUUACCCAUAACCGUUUAAGUGUUUACCCGCAUAACCGUUUAGACCAUUGGGUGUUUACAUAAACAGGUAUACCCAUACGCAUAACCGUUUAUAAACGGUUAAUCAUACCCAUAAUUGCAUACCCAUUUAACCAUAACCGCGUACCCGUUUACCUAUUUUUAACCAAUUUACUCUUCUUCUUUUUUACCCGUCUACCUAUUUUUUUAACAACUUAAAAAUUAAAAUGAAAUUUGUCAUAAUUUUCUUUUUCUAACAAUUAAAUACCGUUAUAAAUACAUUUAACAUGAAUUUUUGUAUUAACGGCAAUAUUAUUUAUGAAUAUAUGCAAUGUCUCCCAAUUAUUUGACGGUCAAUCUAUUAAAAGAAUCAUGCAUGGUUGUAGAUUAAUUAAUAUUCUUGUAUACAUACAUACAUACAUACAUACAUAUAUAUAUAUAAGUACGCAUCAGUCGGCUAAUAAACUAAUUUGAUAAAUAUUUGAAUUUUUAUUUAGAAACAUAUGUUCAUUAAUCCAAGUCAUUUAAUUGAUUUCUAAUUUUUGGGUCAAAUAUUUAAUGAAAACUUGAGGCCAAUUAAAUAUAUAUACAUAUAUAUAGGUACCCAUUAGUCGACAAUAACAUGUUUCUAAAAGCUCAAGGUAAUCAUUAUCUUGAAUUAGCCAAAGCUCCAAAAGACUCUAAAACAAAACUGUCGAAUACUCUAAUGCUUUAGCACAUUCAAUCUCAUAUAUUAAACAUUGACCCGUUCUAUCAACUGUAUUUUUCUCUCAAGUGAGGCAUAUAUAUAUAUAUAUUAUGGCCCUUUAUAACCAAAUAUGUCUCGGGAUACUAAACUUAGCUAGAAACUUUUUUUUUUUGUAGUUUUACAUAUAUUAAAAUAAAUGGUUAAAUGGGUACCCGUUUAUAACCUUGGGUAAUACCCAUAAUCGUCCAUUUAAAUUUUACAGGUAAACGGUUAUACCCAUAACCGUUUAUUUAUCUAAACGGUUACCCAUAACCAUAACCGUCAAAUUUAAAUUGGCGGAUAACCACGGUUACCUAUAACCAAUGGGUAUUUGCCCAUCCCUAACCCCAUUCCACACCACCGACGUCGUGAUGCGGUUGUAGAAGACGAGGAAAAGCGAGUACUUGAAAAAUGCCUUGUUGUCGCCGUACGACACUCUCAUGAUCUUCUCCUGCAAUAAAUUGAAGCAAAAGAUUCAACAUUUCCGCUGUGAAAACGGAGAUCGAUUCGAUGAAUUGGAGAAAUGCGAGGGAAUUAGGGACCUGGAAAACGUCGUAGGUGAUGAGUGUGGUCAUGAUUCCGGCCACCGCAAAAACCCCUUUCCAUAGCUUGCUCGGUUGUGAGGGUGGUUGGGUGGGGAAGACGAUUUCUGGACCAGUUUUUUAUUUAUUUAUUAUUUUUAAAGGGUAAAUAUUAUAAUAAUUUUAAUGUAUAAAAAAUUAUUUUUUUACCACGUGGCAACCACGUCAGCUCUUAACGGAUCAAUGGAUGUAAAAUAUAACGGAUGUAUUAUAUUGAAAUAAAAUGGUACAUGAGGUAUGAAAGUGAAUGUUUUAAAGAUGUUGUAUGAGGUUGCAAUAGACCUCAAACUUAAGGUGGUAAAGUGUAAUUUACCCAGAAAAAAAUGUACCAAUAUAAGUUUAAAAAUGGAUUAGAAAAAACAGUAUUGACACCUCUCACUAUUAGGUUUAACAUGUGAACAACUAUGUAAAAGCUUAUCUUAGGUUCACUCUAAUUAGAAAUAAUAAUAAUAAUAAUAAUAAUAAUAAUAUCCACAAAUACAACUAAAAAUACAGGAUGUUACACUUGUGGAGAUGAAAAAUAACUGGCAUUAGCUGACUAGCACUUAAAAAAAUGUAGGAAGUUAAUUUCCAUUUUGUAUAAAUAUCCAUACUACUAGGAUGAUAAUAUUCUUUACUUUAUGCUGCACCGUUACUUAUGUGUUGAACUUUGCAUUGUGAUAAGAUUUCAACCUUGCUCACAUGCAUACUCUUAUUUUAAUUACGUAAAAUUUUAAUUUACUGGUACUUUUCCACAUCACAAUCACUUUAUAACUUUGUUACCUUCCAUGUGUCAUUCAACAUGCCUUGAUUGGGGGUGUAUUAGUUUUUUGAUAACCAAGGAGAUAUAUUGUUAUAUCACUAAGUUGGAGUCAUUUUUACAUAAAUUUUUUUGUUGUCAGAAUGUAAGACUUUAUUAAAUUGGAAUAAAAAUAUUUACAUCAAUAUGCCAAAAUAAUGAAAAUCAAACUCAGGACCAACAAAAUUCUACAAAUGAGAGCCGCCAUGCCUAGCUGCAUAUGAGGCCAGAAAGUGUGCUACCCUAUUGCUAGCUAUCACAAUGGGAAAACAAAAACACAACGGAGCCGAUAGUUCUAGAUAAAGCCCAGAUAUCAUAAACUUUUGGUUCAAAUUUGUAGAAUUAUUAAAGAGACUGGUCAAAGAGCCACUUCUAACAAUACCAAUAUUGUAUCUAACUUAGAAAUUACCACCUACACAAUCCGUCAGGUGUAAGGUUUUAUCACCAAAAAUCUCGGUAUUAAUUGAAGUAAGAUUAGAAUAUUUAAACUCUUCUUUUAUCAAAGAUACGAUCGAUGUGAGAUAUUUCAAUAAAAUUCUAGAGUAAAAAAUUGAGCUAUUUCUCCAAGUCCCCCACCAAAUACAAUAUUAUGUAUGCAUUAUUAUUUUGAACAGUUUCCGGUUCCACAUUCUUGUAUAUAAGAUUGUUUUCGUGACAAAACUCAACUAUCGACAGCAGCUUCUACAUUUUAAUUAGCUGGAUUGCUUCAUUGUUUCGUUUAUGAAUCCCAUCAAUUUUUGAAUGAACAUAACAUAAACUUUCUGUUUGUCCUCAAGUAAUGCGGUUUUUGCGAUGGAAUCCCAAAGCUACCCACAACACCGCACCACACCUUCUUAAUCUCUUUCUUAAUUUAUAUAUUUGGGUCUUUAGUCAUCCACUUUUUGCUUCAGUCGCCUUCCUCACCCCAAAUUAAUCGGUCACACCCUUUUUGCAAAACAAAUCGUGCCCGUCAGAUAAACAACAAGAAGAAUUGUGUUAACAUGUAUCGGGGGAUGGUUCUUCUCCUGAUCGACUAAUUUGGCCCAAAACAAAAAAUGGCGUUUACUCAGUGAAGUCGGGCUAUAAUUUUUGUCAUAAUCCCAGAGCAUUGGAACUCAACUUAUGCAGGGGUACAUCGCAGAGCUCUCACCAAAUUGGGGAUGCAUUUUGGAAGUUGAUGUGGAAGAAAAAAACUUUACCCAAGAUUGAACUCUUUCUGUGGCGUGCGGCUACUAAUUGGUUACCUACGGUGCUUGCUCUAUACAACAAGAGGGCUGCCCCAAACCCGCUCUGCCCUUUAUGCAAAGAAUUCCCAUAAUCAACGGAGCAUGUCAUUUUCCUGUGUCCUUGGACCAUCGGCGUUUGGUUUGCUAGUUCUCUCAAUUAUCGAAUUAACAGAUCAAGCAUCACAACCUUUGAUGACUGGUUUUUAGCCUUAAAGAGAGAUGCAGGUCAUAUCUCUGGUGCUUCUAGUCCCUGCUUAUCUUCCUCGCCCCUCCAAGCUAAGGCAAAGGCUGCCCUUCUAGCUGUCCGCUCAGCGAUCCACAACAAUUUGUAGGAUGUGGUCUUCGAAUCCGACUCUUUGGAGCUCAUUAACAACAUCAAGGGUGACUUCAAGUAUGGAAACUGGACCAUUUAUCCCCUACUAAUCCAAAUUCGGAACCUCUCCAAUAGUUUUCAUUCGAUCAACUGGCGGUGGAUUCCUCGUCAAGCGAAUUGCGCAGCCGAUUGGGUUGCUUCGCAAUGUAAAAGAGGGAUGCGCUCUGAUAUUUGGGUCUUAAGGCCCCCUCCUUACUAGUUCACAUUUUAUCCAAAGAUGGUCUCCCUACCCUUGCCCCCCUUAAACCUUUGGAGGCUGCGUUUGGGAAGGAUUGCAGAUUGGACCUCAGCCUCGCUUAUGUGUCGUGCUCUGCCUCCUUCCCAGGCUCAGCUUGGGCGAGACCUCUUUUGGUUUUGUAUCUCUUUUCCCUUUCCUCUGCCUUGUUUAUUUUUCUCUCCUUGUACUGCCGUAUGGCUUUUGGGCUCUGCCCCUAAUGAAUGGUUCUCUAUUGUCCAAAAAAAUAAAAAAAAGAUAAACAACAAGAAGAAAUAUAUAAAAAGAAGGAUUGAAAUUAAGAUUUGCAAAUUCUGAGUUUAAUGUAUCACAUCCGAGUUUAUAUGUAACUAACUUUAGGAGGAGUUGAAAUUAGACCAUAUCAGUGAGUCAAUAUCAUAGUGCUUGCACACUAAUGUCCCAAUAUAUAUAUAUUUUUUCCUUUUGAGUACAACAAUAUAUUUUACCCUAAGGGAGGAGGAGUUCGGCUAAGCCAUACAAUGACCAACCUAAUUUGGUAUCGAAUUCGUCAUUCACGAUAUUCGAACCUAAGACAUCUUACUUACAAGUGAAAAGAAAUACCGUAAUACUGAGUGACACUAAUGUCCCAAUUAACUAACUUAUUCCUUUGCCACCAUAUUAGUUUUAUAUUAAAUGCACAUCAAUAUUUGACAGAAAAAUUAUUAUUUUUUUCCUUUUUACGAAAGUGACAUUACAACGAAUUCGUAAGUUGAUAUAUGACAUUUCAAUGUUUAAAAGGUGAGGUAUAAGAUUGUCAUGCGACCCAAAGUUGAGGUGAUAAAAUUUACUUUACCCCAAAGUUUCAUCACUUUAGCUACUAAAUUUGUUAGCUAAAGUGAUGAAACUUAAGAAGAAAUAUAGUUCAUAUAAAGAAAUGUGAGAUUUCACCAUAAAACCAAGCAAUAUGAGGAGGAGCCAAAUUACUUAUGAGCCAUAUGCAAGGUCCCUCAUUUCCCCAAUGUGGAAUUGAUUAUCUCAACAGUCAUGUCACGUGUGAUGAAUUUUCAAGCUUCGCACGUGAAAAACAUAAAUCGGAUGAUGUGGAACAUGUGUGGCUAUUAGGUUGGUAUUCACACGAAAUACGACCUACUAUAUACUACAAAGAAAGUUAAAAUUUUAUCAUAAAAUUAAAUGAAAAUAUAAAAAUUAACUCAAUUACUUAUAAGCAAGGUCUAAAAUAUCGAUGAUAUCGGAAAUAUCGGUAGUUCAAAAACACGGAAAUUUCGAUGAAAAAUCGGGAUAUUAUCGAUAUCGAUAAAAAUUGAAUAAAAACCACGGAAAUUUUAAGAAAAACUUAGAAAUUUUUAUUGAAACUUUGCAGGAUGUUUAUUUAGUCAAUUAUCUAUUAGUUUAUCACAAAAAAAUUGGAAGGAAAUGCAUUGCAUGAUGGAUUUAACUGAUUUAAGUUGAUUAUAUAGCGAGCUGGCAAACAUUGUGAGUGUAGAAAAUAUGUAGUAAUUAAUGAAAGAAGUUUAAACACACCAUAAUCAUUUAUAUAUAAUGAAUUAGUACAAUAUUUUACACUUUAUAUAUUACAUGGUAAAAUACAUGAGUAACUUAGUACCACGUAGAGUUCCUAUCAAGGUCUAAAAUAUCGAUGAUAUAGGAAAUAUCGGUAGUCCAAAAACACAAAAAUUUCGAUGAAAAUAUCAGGAUAAUAUCGAUAUUUUAGACAUACAAAAUCUGAUUUCCUGUAAUGAAUAAUUGAUUGGGAGAAUGUUCAGUGGGCAACCAUCCACGCCGAACUAAAAAAAUGCACGUGCUAGCCGGCCGGUGAAGCCUAUUAUCCUUUGUCUCCUUCUCCAGAUGGUUGUUGGUGAUCCCAAUGAUGGCUGGCAUGCAUUGGUCAAUCACGUGACCCUCAUCUACCCUCUUUCCCCUCUUUUCCUUAUAUAAAUACAAUCCACUUCAAUCAAUAUUUUGUCACAACCUCUCCUCUAACAACACCACCUAUAGUUCUAGCUUUAACUCUCUGUCGUAUUUGAUCUUUCUCGACGAUCGGAUAUAAAAACAAAUGGUGACCGUCGAGGAAGUUCGCAAGGCUCAGAGGGCUGAGGGUCCGGCCACAGUCUUAGCUAUUGGGACUGCAACUCCUUCCAAUUGUGUAGACCAGGCCACAUACCCUGACUACUACUUUCGUAUCACCAACAGCGAGCACAAGACUGAGCUCAAAGAAAAAUUUCAGCGCAUGUGUAUGUACUACUUAACUUCAUCUCCAUAUAUAUUCCUUCUGUGAAUUAAUAUAUUUUGUUUAGUUUGCAAUUUAUCUUUUUUUUUUUCGCUGAUCAAGUGCUAAAUUGCUACAAAAUUGUUAGAAUUAAGCGAAUUCCAAAUUGGUACACACACUAACAUGAUAUUCAUGGAAGUGCUUGACAACUUCAUUAUGCAUAUCUGUGGGGUAUGCUGAUUUACUGUUUAUAUUUUUGGUGAAUCGGUAUAAGAUUGAUGGACAUUUCAUUUUAUAUUGUAAAUUAAUUAAAAUAAAAUUUAUUUUCGAGAAAGGUCAACCAAAAGAAGUUUUGACCUCUCCUUAAAAGCAAGAAAUUAAUGCUGAUUGACCCAAAUUAAUAUUAAAAUUAUUUCGUCAUCUCAAACAAAUCACCCCAUCUCAAAUGCUUUUUGUUUUAGGGAGUGAAUUCCAUGUAAAGACCAAACUACAACUAUCAUACAAAUAUCAAAACUACAACUCAGUAAAUGUAAGAACCAAACUGACCUUUAAAAUCAACCAAGAAAAAGUUAUGCAAGACCUCAAAAUAGUGCAUCUUCUCUGUAGAGAUUGAAGAUGAUGAAUCCAACAAUUUCUAUAGCAAACCUUCUUCUCGUUGACAAAACCUUAAUGCUCAAAUCAACAAUAUGUCUUCUUUUUUUUCGAAAACAUCAACAAUAGGCCUUUGAUUCAAUAUAGAGUGCAUACUUUGCAAAACCGGAGGCCUACAAUAUAUAGCCUACUAUAUAUACACGUUCAAUCAACACUAGGCCUUUGAUUCAAUAUAGAGUGCAUAAUUUGCAAAACCGGAGGCCUACAAUAUAUAGCCUACUAUAUAUACACGUUCAAUCCACUUGCCAGUGGAUAUGACAUUUUUGUUCAAUUGCAUUACGAGUUCAAACUCUUUCCCUUUCCCUCGAUGUAGCUUAGAUUAGUAGUAUCACUUGUACUAAAAACAAAUUGUGUGGUAAUUAACUUUUCUUGUGACGUUUAUGUAAUUUUCAGGUGACAAAUCUAUGAUCAAGAAGCGUUACAUGUACUUGACUGAAGAAAUUCUGAAAGAAAACCCGACUGUGUGCGAGUACAUGGCUCCCUCACUCGAUGCUCGGCAGGACAUGGUGGUUGUUGAAGUCCCAAGGCUUGGCAAAGAAGCGGCCACCAAGGCAAUUAAGGAAUGGGGACAGCCCAAGUCUAAAAUCACCCACUUGGUCUUUUGCACCACCAGCGGUGUCGACAUGCCCGGUGCCGACUACCAGCUCACCAAGCUAUUGGGCCUCCGCCCAUCCGUCAAGCGCCUCAUGAUGUACCAACAAGGCUGUUUUGCUGGAGGCACGGUCCUCCGUUUGGCCAAGGACUUGGCCGAAAACAACAAGGGUGCACGUGUUCUUGUUGUGUGCUCUGAGAUCACCGCGGUCACCUUCCGAGGGCCUAGUGACACCCACCUUGAUAGUCUUGUGGGCCAAGCUUUGUUUGGCGACGGUGCAGCGGCCGUCAUCAUUGGUGCAGAUCCAUUGCCCGAAGUCGAGAAACCCUUAUUUGAGCUAGUGUCUGCUGCCCAAACCAUCCUCCCCGACAGUGAUGGGGCUAUUGACGGACAUCUUCGUGAAGUUGGGCUUACAUUUCACCUUCUCAAGGAUGUUCCCGGGCUUAUUUCGAAGAACAUCGAAAAGAGCCUUAAUGAGGCCUUCAAGCCUAUAGGCAUCUCGGACUGGAACUCGCUUUUCUGGAUUGCACACCCUGGUGGCCCUGCUAUUCUAGACCAAGUAGAGUCCAAGUUGGCACUUAAGCCGGAGAAACUAGAAGCAACAAGGCAAGUGCUGUCUAAUUACGGCAACAUGUCAAGUGCGUGUGUCUUGUUUAUUUUGGACGAGGUGAGGAGGAAAUCCGCUGAGAAAGGACUCAAAACAACUGGAGAAGGACUGGAGUGGGGCGUGCUCUUCGGAUUUGGGCCUGGCCUCACUGUCGAGACCGUUGUGCUUCACAGUGUGGCUGCUUGAAGACAUGAAAAUCAGCGUUGAUUUAUCUAUCUGCUUCUGCUUCGUAUAUGUAUUGUUUUCACUUUUUUCUGGUUAGAAUUUGGCUUUUCGGAUAUUUUGUUUUUGUUUGAAAAGUGUGUGGGCGUCAUGGGGUUAACUUGGCGCAAGGAAUGACCCUUACUUUCAUGUUGUUUACUGCAAUAUCGAUGAAAAAAGGCCCUAAUUGGGCUUGUAACGAUCGAGUAAAAUAUUGAUUAAUGAAUAAUACCACUCUUUGAUCUCUCGUGUAGUAUAAUCUCUUAUAGCUGCAUCUCCAUUUCAAAUAUUGUGGUAGAGCCCUGCCCCUGAUUUGGGACACGGGAAGUCUCCAUUUC
rnacentral:lncRNA from 1 species